GCACACAACUUAACCUCUCUUGGUUUUUCUGGCACGCACUGAGUAUUGGUGGCCGUUGGAUCUGAUCUUGACUCGUCGAUGGCCUGGCCGGGCUACUAGUCAUGUGCUGGAACGUUUGGUGGCUAACGUGUGUGUCUUCCUUCCACCUGUGUGGCCCAAGCCGGUCUACAUAUAGAUCAAGACAGGGACACACGGACUAGGUAGGGCCACAUGGCAAUUACGUGUGCAUUUUGACAAGUGGCAUGCAAUUGGGCUAGACUUGACUCCCAAGCCAAUGUUCACAUCUCUGCGCUGCAUUGCUCUUCUUUUUGUGUGACCUCCUUCUAGUCAAGCCUUCAAUAUCAGUCUUUUUUUCAUGCGCUUAUGCCCUGGGAUGAACUAUUUUUCGCAGGCUUCGGAGAAGGUGCACGCCGGAAAAGGGGGUGUGAUGACAAAAUGUUUGGUAGUACCUAGUACUACAGUACUACUACUAGAAGCAUUAUGUUGUGUAGAAAAGCAAAGUCCUUGUGAUUGUUAUUAUGCCUUUACUUUGCAAAGUCCUUUUGAUUGUUAUUAUGCUUUUAACUUGCAAAGUCCUUGUGAUUAUCAUUAUGCCUUUUAUUUGCUUUCGGCUGCGUAAAAGCAAACCAAAAUUUUCAAGUACACCUAGUAGUAGCUACGGGGAAGCUAGGAUAGACACGCUAAUAUACAAUUGGAGCCAUAUAGUUAAUCAGUUCCUAGUACGUAGGGCCAAGGUAGAUUUAAUCGUGGCGAGGACACCAAUCAAACACCACGUUCGUCCGCCCGUACGGUACCGCAAGAUGCAUGCAUGCAUGAUCGAUGCCCUACCAUGAGCUAGUGAAGUGCUCCUACUUAAUUUAGCAAAUGCAAUGAACAAACCUUGCUCAAGGACAGACAUGCAUCAUGAUGGCUACGAAUGGAAAUUAUUUGAACUAGAUAUAGCAAUUCUGCUCCAUAUCUGUCGCUUAUUUUGUAACGGAGGAUAUUGCCAAAGUCCCUCUCGACGUCUUGACUUUGCGAGAAUGCCCAUGAUUUGGCUAUCAGUGAAGAGCCCGGCACCCGGCGUACACGAAAAUUCCAGUAGUGUUAAAUUAAGCUUGUGCAACUGGAAACAACUAGGAGCAUCCUUCAUGGUCCAGCCGGAUAUGCUCUUGGAUAACUUAGCCUAGGAAAUGGCGAUGCCCGGAUCUCCAGGACAAGCAGUCGAUCGGGACCAGUAGCACGGGCAGCAGUUGAUUAAUGGGCAGAAAGGGAAGAGCGCAUUAGCUUUUGUAAGAAGCGCGGUGAUCGUCCAGCUGCUAGUAGUUGUGGUCCUGCGUGAGUGUGCUGUGCGUGAUCCGUUGGCGAUCUGCAUUACUUGGGCAAUAAUUUCUCCCUGCCAUGGCAAGCUGGUUUGGCUCAUCUGCCGUUUUGUGUGCACGCGUCCCGUUAUCCUCUGGCCGAUCCGAUCCGAUCUGAUCCUGACAGGUGAUGCAUGUCUUAGCUACAAUUGUUGAUCAACACGAAUCACAAGAUUUGUAAUCAGCAUUAUUUCUUCUCCAUUUGGACACCGGAGAACCUCCCGGGAAAAAUGGGGCGACAUUUUUCUUAACACAGUACAGUCCGACGUUCGCACGUGCACGCACAUACAUUUCACAAUGAACGCAUGCACACCCUACCUUUCUGAGCACCUCCGAGAUGCUGACCUGGCAUAAUAUCUUGAGCUUGAUAAAGUCGCCACAAGCACCUCCUAGUGGACGGAAACAUUUUCUCCCAUUGAACGAACAUCAUCGAAAAGACUAAAAAGAAAUCUAGAAAAUUGCCAGCCCGAGGGCCAAGUCUAAGGCUCGCAGAUGCUCAUAUUACCUACAUAUAUGUACGCACACACGCACAUUGUACCCCUAUGAGCACCUCUGAGAUACCGAGCUAACAUAACCUUUUGAGAUUGACGAUGUCACUAUAAAUGCCUCGUAGUCGACAAUCGAUGGGAACAUCUCCUACUACUGGACAAACAUCACCAAAAAGCCUGCAAUAAAAUCCAGAAAAAUGUGGGGGACAGUGCCAAGUCCAUGGCUUGAACCACCAUUCGAUCUGUUCUGUUCACAUGAUGCGGCACAUGCACACAUCUUGGCAGUCGUACGUCAUGCACCGAAAACCUGGGUUUGUGAAGCUUCAAACCCGAGGAAGCCAACACACGACGCUUGGACAUCGGCGAGAGCAUCGCCUCACAUCUUCUAUUCUUAAAAUUAAGUUGAUUCCAAUUUUCUUAACAUGCAAAGUGUCCACCUCAACAUCCCACUGAGCCAUGCAUUUAAGUCCUCUCUCCCACUAAACCAUGCAUUUUAAAUCCGCCACAUAAGCAAGCCAUGCAUUUAACUUAUAAAUUAUAAUUAUUCUUGCAUUAGUCUAUUCAUGUAACGCUGGCACAUCAUACAUGCAUGUUACUAGCUCAUCGUUCACAUUUUUGUACAAAAUAACAUGUUUAAAUAUAAUUAUUACUUUAGACUCAUUUUUAUAUUGAUUUUCAAGCUUAUAUUUUCAUUUCACUAGAGUUGGUUAUUAAACAACUAUUUAUGAUUUUUCUUAAUAAACUUACCGCAGCAACGCGCAUGGAAUCAUCUAGUCUAGUUGAACAAACAAUCCACCUCAAAGAGACACACGUGACAUGAACACAUGAGAUCUUAAUCUCUGGAAUAAUAGAUGAGGGGUGUAUAUUAGACCGACCAAAGAGUUGAAGGUUGAUAUAUGCACUUGUCUCUCUGGUGAUGUUCAAAAAAAGAUCUUAAUCUCUGCUGCGCAUUGCAUCCUCAUCGUCUCGACCAGUUAUUGAUGACGUGCCGCUGCAGAGAUGCGGAGGCCGUGCGCAGCAUCGUCGUGAUGUUGAUAUAUUUUGCUUCGCGGGGAGAAAGGAAAUUGCAAGUCACAGACGUUUUGACCCUGUUUGAAGAUGGGUUCCAGAUUUUUGUCGGUAAAACGAGUUUACAUUUCACGUUUAGCAGCAGCCUGUCUUGCGUGCCAAGAAAAUCAACGGAUCGGAGAAUGAGUGUCCUCUGGCUUCUACCAACUGUCUUGCGCGCCAAGAAAUUAAGGAAAGCACCAGGCGCUCACAUGCGGAGCAUCGUCGCAGCAGAUCCGCUCCCAAUCACCGGCUCACACACACGCAGCAGCCAACUAAUCAUGGCCCCCAUUAAUCAACACGCAUUAAUCCGCUGCCCAGCCUGUUUACCACAAUAAUAAACAACAAAAUUAAUACCCCUAACCGCCAAGGGAAACCAGCACGAGCCAACCGCCCCCGCUGGCGUCUCAUCCAACCGUCCAAUCUCCUAAGCCGUAGAUCCGACGGCUGUCAUCCGCUGGUGGGGAGCGGAUUCGAAACCGCCAGCGCCAGCUAGCCGCUUCCCGCCCGCCCCGCGCCCGGCCGCCAGGGCCCGCGCGUUAGAGCGCCCGCCCCGCUCGGUAGCUUCGCCCACCCGCACCCGCCUACCGGUCCGCGGCGGGCGGCGCCCCCUAUAAACAUCGACGUGGCCGCCGCGUUGGCCCCCUCGCCCCAAUUCCCCACCCCAUUCCCCACCUUCCUCCGCCGGGUAGCUCCUCCGCCAGAUUCUGGCCGCCCGUGAGGAGCGAGCGCCCAAUCCCCCACCAUCCUCCCCGCCCCCAAUCUCCCAUCCGAGUCCGCCAGGUCUGGAUUCUCNNNNNNNNNNNNNNNNNNNNNNNNNNNNNNNNNNNNNNNNNNNNNNNNNNNNNNNNNNNNNNNNNNNNNNNNNNNNNNNNNNNNNNNNNNNNNNNNNNNNNNNNNNNNNNNNNNNNNNNNNNNNNNNNNNNNNNNNNNNNNNNNNNNNNNNNNNNNNNNNNNNNNNNNNNNNNNNNNNNNNNNNNNNNNNNNNNNNNNNNNNNNNNNNNNNNNNNNNNNNNNNNNNNNNNNNNNNNNNNNNNNNNNNNNNNNNNNNNNNNNNNNNNNNNNNNNNNNNNNNNNNNNNNNNNNNNNNNNNNNNNNNNNNNNNNNNNNNNNNNNNNNNNNNNNNNNNNNNNNNNNNNNNNNNNNNNNNNNNNNNNNNNNNNNNNNNNNNNNNNNNNNNNNNNNNNNNNNNNNNNNNNNNNNNNNNNNNNNNNNNNNNNNNNNNNNNNNNNNNNNNNNNNNNNNNNNNNNNNNNNNNNNNNNNNNNNNNNNNNNNNNNNNNNNNNNNNNNNNNNNNNNNNNNNNNNNNNNNNNNNNNNNNNNNNNNNNNCACGAGAGCGACUUCCUCGAGGGCGGCGGCGGGGGCGGGGGCGGGGGCGACUCGCGCGGCAGCAGCGACGGCGAGCCCGGCGGCCUACACGACCUCGCCCACCUCGCCAACAAGAUCUCGGCAAGACAAUCGGCCUGCAGAAACUAUGGACCCCCGAGACGAAGCAAAAGAAGCGAUGUUGGGGGACAUAAUCGCACACGGAAGUGAGGCCGUCUUGUCGUUUCUCAACGACACCGAUGGUCUGGAAGGAGAGGGUGAAGAAGCAGACUACGGUGAUCGAACAAUGGAGGAGGAAGGACAUGAUCAUGAUGGCUCCGGUGACCCAAUGCCGGUGCAAGAUGGACACCGUGAUGACGGCUCCGGUGACCGAACGGAGUCUGGCCAGGUAUAUAUAUUAAUUAAGCAUGUGCUAACUAUAGCUAGCUAAUUGAUGCAUUAAUUGUUUUUGGUAUGUACACAUAUAUUAAUGAACUCUCGUCUUUCUUCUUUUUUCUAGCCCUCCGGAUCGAGCACAACUUCGGUAAAGAGACGAGGCCCGAAGAAAAAGUUGCGCUCGGAUGUAAGGUUUGAGAUCAUAGAAAUCACGCGCGAUGGCAUGCCGAUUGAACCCAUCCGGACAAAGGAAGCAUUUGCUGCUCAGUGCAGGGUUCUUGUUAGGGACAAGAUCCCGAUCAGCGUCUACCAAUGGUUAAAGCCGGCUAAAGAAGACCCUGAGGUACCGGUGUCUUAUGUCUCCGAUAUGCAGAAAGAUGAUCUUUGGACCGAGCUAAAGGCCAAUUUCACCCUACCGCCAAAGGAGGAUCCGGAGAAGCCAGUUAAAGAGCAAUUGAUCAAGUCUCAUGCUCUUAAGAAGAUGGUAGAACUAUUCAGGAGGUGGAAGAAUGAGCUGAAAAAAUUUGUCGACAAAGAAGAGACACCAGAAUUCAUCGGCCGGUAUGAGAAGAUCAGAGAUCACUGGCCCGCAUUUGUGGCCCACAAGACACCGAACAAGAGUAAGAAGAUGUCAGUGACAAAAAAGAAGAAUGCUGCGAAGAAGAAUGCUGAGAAUGACCUGCUUGAUAAAGGGGUUGAACCAGAGACAUUCAGGUGGCCAGACCGUUGCCGGACUUGGUUCUUCGGGGCUGGCGGAACCUUGGACCCUGUAUCAGGGAAGUGCGUUUGGACGGACGAGCAAAUGAGAAUACCAGUCACGAGGCUUCAGGAGUAUAUCGAUGCAGCCCAGAAAGGGACGUUCGUUCCAAACAGAGAGAACGACGAGCUCACAAUGGCCCUCGGGAAUCCUGAGCACCCUGGACGGACACGAGGCACGCCAGGCUCCGUUCCGUGGAAGGCUGGGUUUCCGGACGCAGGCGGUUACAAAUGCCAGGACAGGAGGAAGAAAGUGGAGCAUACCCAACUGCAGGCGCUGCACACAAGGGUACUAGCGAUAGAGGAACGAGAAGCAAAUCGCAGCAAACGACCUGCCAAAGCUUCCCCCGAAGCUACCCCGCCAUCUCAGCGGAGAAGCGACGUGGCUUCCACCGAGCUGCUUCAGCAGGAGCCUGUCUUCACGGCUCCUGCUAGCUACCCCGUGGAUGCUAUCACGGAGUCUCAACAUUGCCACCUUAUGACGCAAUGGCAGAACUUCAAAGUCAAGGCGGCUGUUGGCUCUGUUUUACCUAUUGAACCUGGCGCAACCUACCACUGCCGGCCGAUUCCAGAAGGAUAUGCUAGGGUGAUGGUGGAUCAAAUAACGGACGGAUUUGAGGACCUCCAGCUUGACCACCCUACGGGUGAAGGGGAGAUUCGGCUUGGUUCUUCUCUGAAGACUCCAUGCCUAUGGCGGAAGGAGCUCAUCAACCUGCCGAACUGGACGCCUCCGCCUCCUCCUCCGGCGAGUCAGGGCACUCCGCCUCCUCCUCCGGCGAGUGAUCAGGGCACUCAGCCUCCUUCUCCGGCGCGUGGCAGCACUCCGCCUGCGCCGGCGCGCCCGAGCAGCCAGCCUCCUCCUUCUCCGCCUCGCCAGCAAGGGUGGAAGAGACCCGCCGCCGCUCCGGCUGCUCCGGAGCGUCGUAGUCCUUCUCCUCCGCCUCGUAAGCAAGCACGAAAGAAGACAGCCACAGCCGCUCCGUCUGCUCCGGCCUCUAGCAGUACAGCCAGAGGCGGGAGGCAAUACAGAUUCGGUCCUUUUUGAAGGAAUUGUUUUGAGAGCGCGGACUUUCAAGAGCAGCAGUGAUAAGUGGGGCGGCAACACAGGCGGAUUUCAUCUUUGGUGGUACCCCUCGGGUGCCUAGUCGUGACUUUCAGGGUGAAAAUUUAAGAUCUGGCCUUCAUUGGUUGUGCCUGGCGAUUGCCUUGUUGAAGGAAUUGUUUUGAGAGCGCGGACUUUCUCUAGGGCGAAAACCUAAGAUCUUGGAUCGAGCAACGACGGCGCGUGUGCACUGUUUCCUUCUUGGAGGCGUUGCUUUUGGAGACCUUUUACAUUUUCCGUGUGUUGUAUUUGGUGGUGGUAUGAGUGCUGCUGUUGAGAGGAGUUGAUUGUUGUAGCGGGACUUUUGGUUUUUUCCUUCUUUUUAUUUUCUCUUUUGGCUGUGUGCAUCCUGGAUGUCUCGACGACAUCUUGUAGGUGUAGAGUCUGGGUGCAAUCGGUAUCAUCAGGAUAUUAAUAUAUUCCCUUUUAAAAAAAGAGGUCGGGUGUACCUGGCAUCAUCUUGAUAAAUUGUUUUGCCAUGGCAUCAUCUUGAUACUCCCUCCGCCCGGAAUAACUUUGUCACAGAAAUGGAUAAAAAUAGAUGUAUCUAAAACUAAAAUACGUCUAGAUACAUUCAUUUUUCUGACAAAUAUUUCCGGAUGGAGGCAGCAUUUGUCUAGAUUCGAAUGUAUGUAGACAUGAUUUAGUGUUAGGUACAUUUGUAUCUAGAUAAAUUUAUAAGACAACCAAUUUGAGAGGAAGGUAAUAUUUCGCUUUGUCAGGGGAAAAAAUUGUACAAAGGCACAAACAUUUUUGACCUGGUUGAAAAUCGGUUUCAUAUUUUUGUUGUUAAAACGAGUCUACAAUUCACGUGAAGCAGCCUCUCUGUCUUGUAUACCAAGAAAACGGAAGGAUCGGGAGGAUGAGUGUCCUCUGUCUUGUACUACUACCUGUCUUGCGCGCCAAGAAAGGAAAGCAGCAGGCGCCCACAUGCGGAGCAUCGCCGCAGCCGAUCAGCGGCUCACACACACACACACACCAACUAAUCAUGACCCCCAUUAAUCCGCUGCCCAACCUGUUAACCACAACGAAGAACAGAAUUAAUACCCCUAACCGCCAACCCAGCGGAUUCGAAACCGCCAGCCAGCCGAGCCGCUUCCCGCCCGGCCGCCGGGGCCCACGCGUCAGAGCGCCCGCCCCGCUCGGUAGCUUCGCCCGCCCACCCGCACCCACCUACCGGUCCGCGGCGGGCGGCGCCCCCUAUAAACAUCGACGCGGCCGCCGCGUUGGCCCCUCCCCCCAAUUCCCCACCCCCAUUCCCCACCUUCCUCCGCCGGGUAGCUCCUCCGCCAGAUUCCGCCCGCCGGCGAGGAGGAGCGAGCCCCCAAUNNNNNNNNNNNNNNNNNNNNNNNNNNNNNNNNNNNNNNNNNNNNNNNNNNNNNNNNNNNNNNNNNNNNNNNNNNNNNNNNNNNNNNNNNNNNNNNNNNNNNNNNNNNNNNNNNNNNNNNNNNNNNNNNNNNNNNNNNNNNNNNNNNNNNNNNNNNNNNNNNNNNNNNNNNNNNNNNNNNNNNNNNNNNNNNNNNNNNNNNNNNNNNNNNNNNNNNNNNNNNNNNNNNNNNNNNNNNNNNNNNNNNNNNNNNNNNNNNNNNNNNNNNNNNNNNNNNNNNNNNNNNNNNNNNNNNNNNNNNNNNNNNNNNNNNNNNNNNNNNNNNNNNNNNNNNNNNNNNNNNNNNNNNNNNNNNNNNNNNNNNNNAUCCCCGUCCCCCACCAAUCUCCCAUCCGAUUUCGCCAGGCCUGGAUUCUCCCCCCCGGCUCUGAUUGCUCCGCUUCGGUUCGCACGAAUUCGAGAGGGCACGUUUUCGUCGGGAGGGAUGAUGCUGGUGGCCAAGGAGUUCGGCGCCCUCUCGCCCCCGGGGGCGGUGGCGGCGCAGCGGAGGUGGGCCCCGCCGUCGACGGCGAGGGUGUCGCCGCGCGGGGGGUCGCCGGUGGGGGACCUGUGGCUGCGGACGCGGGGAGGCGGGGACGGGCCCGGCGGGAGCCAGCACGGGAGCCACGAGAGCGACAUGGACCUGGCCAUGCUCGUCAGCGACUUCCUCGAGGGCGGCGGCGGCGGCGGCGGGGGCGGCGACUCGCGCGGCAGCAGCGACGGCGAGCCCGGCGGCCUCCACGACCUCGCCCACCUCGCCGACAAGAUCUCGGUACGUCCUGUUGUCCCACCUGGACGCCCUCCCGUUCCCCGCCUCCUCUGCUCUGUUCGUGUGGAUUUUACGUUUUGGUUUGGGGCCGAGGUAAAUUUCCCCCAAAAUUGUGCCCAAUUCAUUAACUGGCCGGUAGGUUAGGUCGCUGGCAGCGACCCUAUGAAACUGCCCAAUUAUUAGGGCUUCCUAAUCCCAACCUCUGAUCACUACUCGUUGGAGGAACAUUUCUGGAAUCGCGUAUAUACAGCGGUUGCUUCCAAAUGAAUUUGUCCUUACUAGCGCAAUUUUGGUAGCGGUUGCUUCCAAGUGAAAUUGCCGGUACUAUCUAUGACGUUGCUGCCCUGUUUUGCUUUGCCCUGAAUUUUAUCUCUAACCACAGCUCAUGGUAAUAUCAGCAACAACUUAGAUAUGCCUCGCAUGUUUGAUCCGAUUUGACUCCAUGACCACAGUACAAAAGAAUGAAUUUACCAUUAUAGAGAGCCCUCCCAGAUGAAUUUAUCGUUACUAGCACAUUUUUGGUAGCAGUCGCUUCCAAGUGAAUUUUCGUUAGUAUCUAUGGCUGCCCUGUUUUGUUUUGCUCUGAAUCUACUAUGUAACCACAGCUGAUGAUAACAUCGACGACAAAUUUUGAUAUGCCUGGCAUGUUUGAUCCGAUUCGACUCCAUGACCACGGUGCUAAACAAAAAUCUACAAUGACCUUGCUGGGCUUGCAGCUGUAAUUUUGAUUACACAGCAGUACAAUUUAGUUGUCUCUCAAGUUUUGAUUGCACAGCAGUACAAUUUUGUCCCACCUAUCAUGAUUCUACAGACCAUUUUUAUGCUUUAGCCCUAUUGGUCAGGGAUGAAAUAAAGCAUCAGCGUGGGCACCAGUUGUUCCCCUGCUGUAAUCAUGAGCUAGCCGAUUUGUAAUCAACCAUGCCAUGUGCGCCCUCAUCAGGCCUGAUUCAGAGGAGGCACUGGGCUAUCUUUUUUGCUCAUUCAUUAGUCUUGCCUAAAAAUAAUAAUUGGAUAACUUAACUUAGCAUAUCUGUUGUUGUAUCCCGAGGCUGACCUUUUGCGCAUCCAUUUUAGAUGUACAAGCAGGCUGGAGACGAGAAGGAAAACGAGCUGCUCUCCGUGGUUCACUCACUGCUGUUCUCGAUCCACGAGACAGAGCUCCAGGAUUUCGUAAGAGGUCAAUGUACCGGCAGCUGCAUCCGUCAUCUACUCGUGAAGCUCCUGAGGUACUCGGGAUACGACACGGCCGUCUGCGUGUCCAAAUGGCAGGGGUUCGACAAGAUACCAGGAGGUAAUAUAACCACCAGACCAAGGCUUAGCUACUUAUGCUGUUCGAUUUUCUCUAGAAAUUGAGCUGUGUGGCUGAGCUGUUUGUUGUUUUGCCAAUCAGGUGAUCAUGAGUACAUUGAUGUCAUAAUAGACAAUGACCUGACAGGUCCAGAGCGUCUGAUCAUCGACAUCGACUUCAGGAGCCACUUUGAAAUAGCCAGAGCAGUCGAUCCUUACGGCACCCUGCUGGACUCGCUUCCCGUGGUCUAUGUCGGCACCCUUCCCAGGCUGAAGCAGUUCCUGAACGUGAUGGUCGACGCGGCGAAAUGGUCCCUGAAGCAGAACUCCAUGCCCCUGCCGCCCUGGAGAUCCCUGUCCUACCUCCAAAUGAAGUGGCACUCCAAGUACGAGAGGAAAGGCCUGCACUCUGAGCAGCAAGAGUUCCAGGGCGCAUCCCCGAGCCGCGCACUGUGCUUCGGGCAUCUGAAGCGGCUGAAAUCCUCACUGCGGCUGGAACUCGAGACCAGAAGGUUGCUCAUGAUGCCGGUCAUGCAGGCCGGCACGAAGAGGACGGCAAUGUACGAGAGGCGGCGUAGGCGCUCCCUGCUCAGCUUCUGAUGCUUCUUGGAUGCAGAAUUUUUGGGGAAAAAGGAGAGGGUCUUUCUUUUUUGCGGGAUUUUGACAGUUAUAAUGGGAGGUAGACGGUGGGUGCUAAGCACUAACAGGGGAGGAGAGUGCAGAUUACAUGCCAGGUUUUUUUUUUGAAGGCAUAUAUACAAAAGAGAAAAAAAUACACAAAAUUCUUUUCGAUUUCAUUUUUGGUUUCUUGGGCGAAAGAUGGUUGCUGGUGAUGAACCCGCUAGCAUACCAUGUAUGUACAACCGAGAGUUGUUGCAAAAUUCUCCCCUUAUAUUGAUUUUUGAUCGUAUAUGUUCGUCCUACCAUGUGUGUUUGUAUUUCGAAGAAGUAUAUUUGUUGCCGUGCUUCAUUUGGUUCCGAAGGAAAUGAUACUCCCAUGGAACAACAAGAUCAAAUGCUGGUGUUUUGGAAACGCCGCCACUCGCCGAUGUAUAUUUCUAGAGGCAUGCUCUAGCCUUUUCCAUCAUCCUCUUGUCCCCUCUAAUGAUGUCUCUGUGAUUGAAAAAUAGGAGAAUCUGAGAAAGAAGCGACAGUGCGGGUUGUAUAUGUUAUUAUCAUCGACGUGUUGCUAGAGCGGAGCGGAGCGGGGUGCUUUACGGAAAGAAGGGGGGAUUUUGCGAGGAAAGAAUUGAGAAAAGGAGAUGCAGGUUGCAAUGGCUAACACAGGUCUUGAUUCCCCAGCCAGGAUCAUCAUGAUGUUUGUCUGUCCAUCCAUUAUUCUUGUCAAAUGUCUUUGUUUGUUAAUCAAGUGGGGCGAAUCAAUCAUGUGGCAUGUUAAAUUAACAGCAAUUUGCAGCAACUGUUGCUGCUCGCUUGGGUGUUCAUGUUGGCCUGCCUGUCCCGCGGCUUGGGCUUGAUCCUCGGCACCCGAGGGAUGAACACACAGUGAGUGCAGGUCUUUGUCUGCAGGUGUUGUUUUACCUUGUGGUUCUCAUGUUUGGCUCAUGAUCUGUGCGUCUGGCUGGUCACACCUUUGCCAGUUUCAGCCUGCGUGGAUGUGCUUCAGGAGCAGAGCAGCGGGUGGGACGGCAGAACAUAAGAAUCAUGGGAGCAUGGCAUGAAGUUUUGCUGUAAGCUUUUUUUUUUUCUUUUGAGAUUGCUGUAAGCUUUUUUGGGUGAACUUGUUCUGUUCUAGGUUGCAUACUAGCAAAGCAACAGUUUAACUAGAAGCCAUAAGUGAAAUAAUUUAAACCCAAAGAAAAAAAAUGUGGGGCGAGAGAGGCUCGAACUCUCGACCUCAGGAUCACUCGCAUAAUUUAGCUAUGAGACCUACGCGCUAGCCAACUGCGCCACCGCCCCCUUGUGCUAUGGUUUCUCAUGGUAAGUAUAAGAUUGUCAAGUCUCGGUCCAGACGCCUGCUCAUCUUUAUUGGUAAUUCUACUCAUCUUUAUUUUUUCACCGAAAAACUUACAAUCUAUUCAUCUUCAAUCAUGGCAGUACAACGAAUACCAAAAAUAAAAAUUACAUCCAGAUCCGUAGACCACCUAGCGACGACUACAAGCACUGAAGCGAGCCGAAGGCGCGCCGCCGUCAUCACCCCUCCAUCGCCGUAGUCGGCCACAACUUGUUGUAGUAGACAGUCGGGAAGUCGUCGUGCUAAGGCCCCAUAGGACCAGCGCACCAGAACAGCAACCCCCGCCGAUGAAGAAUAACGUAGGUUGGAAGGAUUCAACCCGAAGACACACGAACGUAGAGCAAACCCACCAAAGAUAAAUCCGCCGGAGACACACCUCCACACGCCCACCAACGAUGCUAGAUGCACCGCCGGAACGGGGGCUAGGGCGGGAGACCUUUAUUCCAUCUUCAGGGGGCCGCCGCCGUCUCGCCUUCCUGAACAAGACACAAACCCUAACAAGACAGGAAAAAACGACUGAAAACGGAGCCCUUCCACCGGCCCUUGGCAGGAUCCACCGCGCCCCCAUGGCCUUAGGGCCACCGGAGACGAGGCGGACCUGCGGCGGCGCUGGCGAGAGGCAGAAACCCUAGCUUUCUUUCUUGGAGGAGGAGGCUAAGAAAAUGUCACUCAUCUUCAUUCACAGCCCCAGUUUUACGUGUGCAACUUGCACUAACAGCAGUAACAGCCCGAGUUACAAAUGGUGUGUGUGUACAUUUCUUCAAAGCUGAUGCAGUAACAGCAGACUCAUAUUGUUCAGUUCAUAGCCGACACAAUGAUAAGAGCUACCUGUCAAUCAGUUCAAGAUUCCGACAACCCCACGGUUCUCAAGAAAGAAAGGAAAAGAUACUACAAAAUAUGGAGCCUACUACUUCUCAAGGAUCCAUCAUUCCAUCAAACUGUACUUUGGGGGCACAAAUGGGCCACCAUGUGAUCCAGCCCUUGCACUUCUUUUAUUCAGGUCCAUGUGCCAGCAAACCAAUCUAUCCGAUAUGCAAAAUAGAUAAUGGCAGGUGGUAAUAAGAUAUUAUUCAGACUAGAAUCCAAAUAUGGGUGUAUGUAUCGAUAUUCUCAACGCACUCGCAUCAUCCAGGUAAGCAUGAAGCAUCAUCAUUAGUAUAAUGUUCAGCUUGAAGCAAUUUGCUAGCACUGAAUGAUAUUUCUUUUUACAUCCUUAGCAAAGAUGAUUUGAGUGUGUGGCAGAUUUUAGAAACUACAUCAUGCAUACAGUUACUAGUAAUCAUCUGCGGUCUAUACUCGGGCCUUAUCCAUGAAAAGAAAGAAAUUGUAAACCUCGGAGUACCAAGACUCAAUCCCGAACAUUGAUCUUAUUGGUUUUUAAUUAUAUAAAAUGCAAACGAAGUCUAAGAAACAUGAAACCUGGCAUUGGUGUCAUUAUAUCAUCCCUAGAGGGUACAAUAAAAUUUGAGAAGGUUUCACAAACAUUGUCAUGUAAACUACUUCAAAUUUGUCUUUUUAGAGGGAAAGAGCCAGGUUUUAAGGCGACGGAUUUAUGUGGCUCCGAUAUCCCACCUCCCAACUCGUCAGCUUUGUUGCCGACGUGCCAUUGGCAACCGCCUCCUCCCCUCCCCCACCCCCCAACUCUUCUCCCUGCUACAACCUGCCCCGCCCCUCACCAGAUGCAUUGGAGAUGAAAUUCAUAGCACUGUGUGACCUGCAAAACUCAAAAUAGUUUGCUCGAAUAAAAAAAACUAAGGAAUUGGGCUAUUUGAGCACAGAGAGAGCUUCGCCGACGAAAUUCGAGAUCUGGUCAUCCCAUCUCCAAGUGAGAUGUCGUCGUCCACGGUCACCAUAGGGGCUCGGCAAGGAAGGGGGUGGCAUGGUUGGCUGAGGAGGUGGGCCGGGGAGAGGGUGGGGCUCUUUAGAGAGCGCUUGAGGUGGGGCGGAUGCGCGGUGCGCCUUUGAUGCACAAGGAGCUGCAUGAGGGCACUGUUGCUAGGUGGUACAUGCCGAAGGGCGGCACCGGUGAGGGGCAGUGGUUGCCAGAGAGAAGCGUGUCGAGGCAAGGAGGGGGCUGAUGGUGUGCGGCGAUGAAGGUGAUGGAGGAGACGGGGGAAGCGAUCGUGUGGGGUUGUUCCAGAGCGGGAGGGGGCAUGUUUUUUCUAGGGGCGUGCGACGCAGGGCGCUAAAAUUUGGUUGGUGUUGAACAUGGGAGCAAUAUAAAACGUUGGAUUCGAGUAUGUGUAGGGUGCAAAUGUUUUGGAUCUCCACCUUUCGUGCUUUUAUAGUGGUAAUAGAUGCCACAUGGCAUAUGUGCUUUUUUGAAUGCAUUCACUUGGAAAAGGUGGAAAAGCUAUGUCGAGUUUUACACUUGGCAAACAUUGUGCACAGAAACCAAAAAAAGGGUUGCGUCGCCGGCUCAUCCCUUUAUCCUGGACCGAGUGGCGAACUAAUAGAUCCAUGGCAGAAGAUUACUACCAUGACCAUGGCUAGUAGCAGCUAGGGGUGAUGGCCAUGGCGGUGCUCACGGCAAGCAGCCUCCUCUUCCUCUCAGGCACGGCCCUAGAGGGGUGACAUGUUGGCCAUGACGGACAUUACGCCUCAUAGGCCAGCAAGAGCUGGAAUGGUAGUGACGACCUACAAGGGAGAUAGAGGGAUGGGAACACAAGCUCAGGAAUAGGAGGCCGUCGCGCAUCCGAUGGCGGCGUCUACCAUGGAUUUUCUCCCUGAUGGCUUGCUCAGAGAAGAAGAAGAGGAGCGUCGAGGACUGGGGAAGAGAAGCGGCAUCAGCGAAGAAGACAAGCAACCAUAUGUGGCCUAUGAGGAUGAAGAAAUUGGAGAGAUAAGAGGUAAGGAGAGAGAAAGGAGUUUUGGUGUGCUAUAUCUAUCAUGUGAUGCCACCUCAUCGAUCCACAUCCUCCCCUUCCAACUAAUCAGGACGAAGUGCAUAGAUUGUGUGUUUCUCCAUUAGGUGGCUCUGCUGAGUGUAACACUCGACAAACAUUAUUUUCUUUUUCUUUUAAUUUCUUUUCUCUCUUUUCCUUUCUUUCUUUUCCUUUCUUUCAUUUUAUUUUCUUUCUUCUCUUCUCUUUUCAACCCACUUUUGCUAACUUUCUCGCGCACUCGUAUUUAAAAUUUGAAUUAUAUCUGUUAAAAUCCUAGAAAUACACUUAGUGAGCUAAAUAUAGCAAACAAAUCCGGAAAGAUGCCAAAUUUUGGCAUGGAAUGUGUGAUUGUGUAUGUUGGCCGUGUAUUAAAAAAAUCAAUGUCAACCAACUAAGCCACCAUCAACGUUCUCAUUGUUCCGCCUAGAGCAAGCAUGCAGGCGCACACGAGCACCGCCGCCUCUCCCGAGGACGCAAGGGCAGCCACCGAGGGCACGAUAGGCGCAGGCACACUGAAACUGGCCCCAGAGCUGAUGAGUGUUUUCCUUAACUUCUUUAGGCACGCGAGCUUGAUUUAAUCUUUAACUUUCAAUGUAACUUUUUCACAUAUGGGCAAAAAAAUUGACACGAGGACUGUAGUUAUAGUUUCUUGCCAGAGUUGUGGUCUUUUUUUUUUUAUCAAUGACUAAUUCACAUGAGUACGAGUGGCAAAAUUUGUAUGCAUGUCUACGAAGUACAGGACGAGAUUCUCAUUGCUGGCGAGCUUCAGGUAGCUAGCAAGAACUUUGCAACACUAACUAGAAAAGCCAUGGAUGUUUAAACUUAAAAGCCAUGGCGCUAUGCAAGAGAUAAAAGUUGUAUAUCCAUCUUAUGAUGAGAAGAAAAAAUUAAGAAGAGGAUGAAUCAGAAGAAAAAUCAUCAUAAGUAGCAAGUAGGAAAAUCAUCAUAAGUAGCAAGUAGAAAAAUCAUCAUAAGUAGCUCGUAGGAGCCAUCUACAAAAUAGAACUGUCCAUGUUUGUAAAUAUUUGUCUUUGCUGUGUGAUGUGAUGUGUGCACAAAUCAUCAUGCAACAGUUACAUAAUAAUAAAGACAUAUAAUUGUACAAAAGAAAAAAUACACACAAUUCUUUUUCAUUUACCUUUUUAUUUCCUCGGGGAAAGAUAGAUGCUGGUAACGAACCUGCUAGCAUGCCACGUACAACCGAGAGUUGUUACAAAUUUUCUCCCUUAUGUCGUUACCAUGUGUGUAUGUGUUUUGAUGAAUUAUGUAUUGUACAUUGUUGUGCUUGUCCUGCAAAAAAAAUGUUAUUGUGCUUGGUUUGGUUCUUAAGAAAAAGGAUACCCCAUAUGUAACAAGAUUGAAUGUUCUAGCCCUUUCCGUCAUUCCUCUUGUCCCCUCUAAUGAUGUCUUUGCGGUUGGAAAACAUGUGAAUCUUUCCACGAGAAAGAACCAGCAGCGGGAGUGCGUCUUCUACAUAUAUUAUCAUCUCAUGAUGUUAGUGGAGUAGGGUGCUUUACAAAAAGAAUGGAAUCGCCCCUGAUUUGGUGGGAGUAGGCACUGGACUAUAAUGUCGAUCAACUAUUUUCAGUGGCGAUGCAGAUAUGGGGAUUCCUAAAACAUCAUGUAUUCAUGUUGGACAUGCAUGUGUAUUUGGGUGUAUUUUCCAUAUGCUUUGAUCGGUACCCAUCUAUAAUUUAUUGUGGGUUUAUGGCCAUACAUCUUGGAAUAUAAUGUUGUGACUUCUUGCCAUGGAAAACGUAAAUGGCACACGUCUUGUGAAGAUAGUGGACCAAUAGCACAUGAUGGUACGUUUGUCUUCAAAAAUGCUGUAAGUUUAGUAUUACAAAUUGUGCGGAUCAAAAUUGCAUCAAGGUUUCGUGGUGUAGUUGGUUAUCACGUCAGUCUAACACACUGAAGGUCUCCGGUUCGAACCCGGGCGAAGCCAUCUAAUUUAUUUUUCUUUUUCAAUUUUUUUCUACUGUGUAAAAAAUACAAAGAAAAUAUAUUUGGCCCAUACAGGUCUCGAACCUGUGACCUUCGCGUUAUUAGCACGACGCUCUAACCAGCUGAGCUAAUAGGCCUUUUUGAUAUUUCUAGUUAUUGCACUUUCUAUAUUGGAACGAACUGAAUAUUAUGUACCUUCACUAGGUCCCUGGUAGUGCUUACAUCGUGUUGUUACAUCCUCUUCCUGCUAGUGAUGCUUUCGGUUUCUUUCUAAUGUUGCGAGGUUUCGUGAUGCAUUAGCAGGAUCAGAGGCCGGUCUUUUGUUGUUGGUCUUCUCCUCAAGCUGCCGUUUUCCUCUUCUCUAUGGUUUCAUUUGCGGCAGUUUUUUUUUUCUUCUGUUGCUGAGUUCUGUAUCAGACUGUACCUUGGUUUAUUAUCCAUAUUCAUCUUGAAAUACAGCGCAGGAAUUUAUUUGCAAAACACGGAUCACAACAAGACACGACGGUAUAUUAUGCGUCUUACAUUAAAAAAAAUGCAUUAAGGUCUCGUGGUGCAGUAGGUUAUCACGUCAGUUUAACACACUACUGCACCACGAGACUAUGCUUGUAAGUAUUCUUCCCUGUUGGAAUCACCUUUUUUCAUUUUUUGCUUCUUCGGCAAAAGAUGGAUGCUGGUGACGAGCUCGCUAGCAUGCCAUGCACAACUGAGAGUUGUUACAAAUUCCCCCCUUUCUUACAAUUUAUAUUUGAGCAUAUACAUACGGAUGUGUCAUGUGUCCUUCAAAGUCUUACCAUGUGCGUAUGCAUUUUGAAGAAUUGUGUAUUGUAUGUUGUUGUUGUUGCACUUGGUUUGGUUCUUAAGAAAAGGGAUACCCCAUAUGUAACAAGAUUGACUGCUUUAACCCUUUCCGUCAUCCUUUUGUCCCCUCUAAUGAUGUCUUUGUGAUUGAAAAACAGGAGAAUCUUUCCAUGAGAAAGAAGCGAUAUCGGCAGCGCAUGUUGUAUAUGUUUAUAUCAUGUGACAUGUUACUAGAGAGGAGUGGGGUGCUUCACGGAAAGAAGGGAGGAUUUGCGAGGAAAGAAAGGAACAUAUGAGCGCGUUGAGAAAAGAAGGAGCCCGUGGUUUCGACUUGAUCCUUGGCACCUGAGGGAUGAACACAUAGUGAGUGGAGGCAUUUGAAACAGUGGGAGGAUCGCCUGAAGCUUUUUCUGCUCUAGGUGUUGUCCGUUAUCUUCCUUUUUGCUCUUUUGUUUUGUUGUUCCUUUAUUCUCUUGAAUUGCAGUACCGCCGGCCUAAUCCAUCGUACGGAAAGAAAUGAAACGAAAAAAGUUGGCAUGAAGUUUCGUGGUUGCAUACGAGCUAAGCACCAGGAAAGUGGAAACAAGUCCAGACCUAUUACAUUUUAACUGGGACCCAAAAGGGAAAUAAUUUAAAGCCAAAGCAAAAAAAAAUAUGGGGCGAGAGAGGCUCAAACUCUCGACCUCAGGAUCACUCGCAUAAUUUAGCUAUGAGACCUACGCGCUAGCCAACUGCGCCACCGCCCCGCUUUGUUAUGGUUUCUCAUGAUAGAUAUAAGAUUGUCAAGUCCCGGUCCAGACUCCUGCUCAUCUUUAUUGGUAAUUCUAUACUCAUCUUGAUUCACAGCCCCAGUUUUACGUAUGCUACUUCCAGAGAUUCCAAAUGGUGUGUAUACAUUUCAGCAAAGCUGAUGCAGUAACAGCAAGCAAAAGCUCAUCUUGUUCAUUUCAUGGCCGACACAAUGAUAAGAACUAUACCAACCAAUCAGUUCAAGAUUCCAACGGCCCCACGGUUCUCAAGAUAAGAAAAUAUGGAGCCUACUUGUGAAGGUGCACUCUGGAUCCAUCAUUCCAUCAAAGUGUACUUUGGGGGCACAAAUGGACCACCAUCUGAUCCAGCCCUUGCACUUCUUUUAUGCAGGUUCAUUGGCCAACAAACCAAUCCAUCAGAUGUAAAAACAGAUGGAUCUCCUCCUCCGCGCCCCCCACGACCCCCACGUCGCCUCCCCCGGCGGUGGCGGGGGAACCCUAGCAGUGCCGCCGCGGCCCCCUCCCCACCUCGUCCCACCUCCUCGCCGCCGCCUGAGGCAGCCGCCGGGCAAGCCCGGGGCGCCAAGGAUGGUGGCGGCGGGGCCUCGGUUGCCCUACUUCUGAGUGGGGAACCCCGGAUCUGGAGCGGCGGCUUCAUUGGCAAGGCAUGGCCGACUAGCAGUCGUGCGGGCGGUGGAUCUGGUGUCCCGGCCGUGCGGGCGGCGGGAUCUGGUGGUCGUUGGCGGUCGGUGGCGGCUUUUGCGGCGGCCGGUGCGCACGAUCUGGCGCCUCCCCUCCUCCCCUGUUCGGCGUGCGGGCCAGCCUGGUCGGGCCGCGCUUCCUUGUGGUCGCCGGUUCUGUACAGGAGGCGUUGUUGGUGGCGGAUCUAGUUCGGGCGAAAUCCCUGGCCGGCCAUGACCGGCUGCGCCGACGACGACCCCUGAGGGCGCCGUUCCCCUCCUUGGAGGCGUCGGUAUGGACUGAUCUCCUCACUUCACCUUCCCCUAGGUCUCCCGGGCGAAAGCCCUAACUUUGUUCGGCGGCGGCAGCGCUCACAGCGCCGUUCCCUUCUUGAAGGCGUCACUUUGGGAACCUUGGUGUUGGGUGGCGCUUGUGGGUGGUGGACGACGGUGGUGUUGCGGCCCUAUCCUAGCUUGGAUUUACGUCCGUUGCUUGGAGAUGGACUCGCGUAGGCGGAGGUCGUCGGCUGGCGUCGUGGUGGCGUCAAUGGCGGAGGACCUGCCAAGGCUCACGUAAGUGGAGGUCGUCGUUUGGCGUCGUGGUGGCAUCGAUGGCGGAGGACUUGCCAAAGUUAUCACCUCAAUGCGGUCUGAAGAUGGACCAGCGGAAGACGGCGGCGACUACACAUGUGAGUGCGUCGGACCGGUUCGAGCCCCGGACCUGGCAGAUGGCUCGGUCGGGGCCUCCAACUUUGGAUGUUAGGCUUAGGUGAGAGGUCUGGGUAUGUGGCCCAGCUUGCACCCCUUCAUCAUUUGGAUAGGAGUAGCGGCAGAUGUUGCCAAGAUGGCAGAUUCAGACAUAUUGUUGUUCUACUUUGUAAGGUCCUCAAGAAUAAUUAAUAAAAUGGCCGCAUGUAUCUUUCAGAUGCAGAGGCCGGGGUCAUCCUCCUUUAUAUAUAUAGAUAUAAAAACAGAUAAUGGCUUGCAUGCUGUGAUAAGAAUCCACAUAUGGAUGUACGUAUCGAUAUUCUCAUCACAACUCGCAUCAUCAAGGUAAAGCAUGAAACAUGGUCAUUAGUAUAAUGUUCACCUUGACGCAAACAAGAUCAUGGAAGAAUACGGCAAAGCGAAGAAACGAUAACGGACGGUCCCCCGCGUCGCUCCUCCAGGGGCGACACGGGCGGAAGCCCCAAAUCGCCGCUGCCGGCCACCCCUCCUCUCCGCCCUCCCUCCUCGCCACCGUCGGAGGACAUGGCCGGGCGAAGCCCGUCGCAUGGACGGCGGUGGCGGGGCUUACCCAUCUCGCGCCGGCGCGGGUGGCCCCCUGUGUGGGUGUGGCGGCCGUUCUUGUGACAGCCAUGUUGGCUGGUCUUGGCGUGUCGGCUGGUGCCGUCCGGCGUGGAUCCGGGGCUUCUCGGCCCGGAUCUAGCGUCUGCCGCGCUUUCGGCUGCGAGGGUGUUGGUGUUGGCGCUGUUGCGCGUGGAUCCGUGUUCGUGCGCACACGGCGGUCCGGCUCGGCGGGCUUUCAAGCUGCUGCGCGCGAGGAGUUGUCGGUGCUUGUUGCUGUGGGGUGCGGGUGGUGGUGCUGGGCUCGGCCUGGGCAGGGUCUUGCGGCGUGGCUGCGGCGGGCCGGCGGCUGGAGUACCCCGACGACCUCGCCGGCGACCUCCAGCAGGACGGCGCUCGUGCGGCUGUUUGGUGGGCCGCCCCGUUUGGUCCUAGUGGUGGCUGCAUCGGGCGGAUCUGGAGCUGGAGCUCGUGUGGCAGCUUCGGGUGGAUCUGGUGGUGGCAUCUUCGUGCGGCUGGAUCCGGAGCUUCGGGGUGGCAGCCCGUGCUCCGCGCCUAGUGAUUUUGGUCUGGUGGUGUGCGUCGCACCGGCUGCGGCUCUUCGUGGGAGGUGCUGCAACAGCAAGGUUCGAUCCCCCCGCCUUCAGUCUGCACUGCGGGCGCUUCAGAUCUGGCCUCCAGCAGGCGUGCGGUGGCGCGCGUGGGGCGCGUCGGCUCGUCUGAUGUAUGGCUGCAGCCCGGAACCAUGGUGGUUCUUGGCCUCGUGCAGCGCCCCUCUGCUCCUUGCCAGCAUGGUGCUUGGUGGGGCACGGUGGCUCGCGUUGCGUCCGGCCGGCCAUUGGUGCAUCUGGCGUCUAGUGUUGAUUUUGGCCGUCGGUGGUCUCCGCGAGGUGCGGCUGGCUGAGGCGGUUCGUCGUGCUUCUUCAUCGUUGGAGGGUUCGAUGGCGGUGGUGGUCGGCUGCCGUCUUGCUGUAGGGAUGUGCUCAAACUCCGGGGUGAGAACCCUGCAUCGGCUCUGCUGAUGCCGGCGGCAGCGGCGUCUACGGAUGUCGUUUUCCUUGUAGGAGGUGCCGUCGUGGAGCAACAACACCUACAGUUCUUUGUUUGUGGUCUCCGGGUAAAAACCCAAGAUCAGGCUUGCCGGAUCGGAUGACGGUGUUGUAUGCUCGACAACACUACCUUCUUGGAGGCGUCGUCUUGGAGACCCAAACAACGGCUUCUGUUGCUGUGUGUGGUUGUGGGUGGUGCGGCCUGCUCAGAACCGAGGGUGGUGUGUUCUUCUUUAGGUAUUCCUCUUCGGCUGUCCUACGUGUGGUCUCCGGCCUGCUAGUAUGCAAGCUCAUGACCCCGUUCUGUUGAGGCGAGCCUCGGGCUCUUGGUGUCGUCUUUGUUCACCUUUGCUCAAUGACGACGCAAUGACGCCUCCCCGACUUGCUAAUCGUCUUGAACUUCCGUGGUGGAGCGCUCAGUCAAGGUUCAUGUUAAGCUUUGGCACAAGGUUCGUGUUAAGCUUUGGCACUCGUUGAUUGUGGCUCCUCUGUUGUGCUGUGGGGUUUGAUACGCACGCCGGUGCGGUGCGUUAGGCUGUUUGUAGAGUCUUGGUAUUGUGAUCCCUCGACGCACCCCUCAUUUACCUGGUCCUGUUAGUAUGCUAGCUAGGUCUUGCCUUAUGUUGGGCGUCCUGUUCCUCUCCUUUCCUUAUAACACUUGUUACUUGUCUGGUUUUCGGCUCGGUUUUCUUCAUAAACGGGGUCAAUUUGUUAAGGUUUUCGAUCCGGUUUCCCUUAUAAACUGGAUCACUCUCCUGGCAUUAUGGCCACUUUGAGCAAUAUAUUCAGGUGGAGGGACUCCUCCCCCGGUGAUUCUAAAAAAAAAAGAUCAUGGAAGAAUAAGUUGCUAACACUGAUUGAUAUUUUUUUAUGUCCUUGGCAAAACAUGAUUUGAGUGUAUGGAAGAUUUUAUAAACUACACCAUGCAUACAAUAACUAGUAAUCCUUUGCGGUCUAUAUUUAGGCCUUAUCCAAAAAAUGGAAUUCCAAACCUCGGGGUAACCAGACUCGACCCGAAACAUGAAGCUUACUCGAGUUGAUUAUAAAAAAUGGAAACAAAGUCGAAAAAUAUGAAACCUGGCAUGGUGUCAUAAUUAAUGUUAUCUCUAAUGGGUGAGCUAAAAUUUUUAGAAGGUAUUCACAAAAGUUGCGAUGUACACUACUCAGAAACUGAAAGAAUCUUGGUUUCAAGAGGGAACAAGUCAGGUUUUAAGGCGAAGAGUCGGUUGCUUCGUUGGUUAUCCUGGAUUUUUUUAUACACCUAACAUGCACCAUCACAUAUUCCAUGCCAAAUUUUGGUAUCUUUCCGGGUUUGGUUGCUAUAUUUAGGCCAUUAACUGCACUUAUGGGCAUUUAAAUGAUAUAUAAUUCAAGUUUUAACAGAGAGUGCGUGAAAAACUUGGCAAAAGUGGGUUGAAAAGAGAAGAGACUAAGUAAAAUAAAAUAAAGAAAAUAAAUGAAGAAAAAGAGAAUGAAACUAAUGACUGUAGAGUGUUAACACUCGAUAAAGCCACCUAAUGAAGAAACACAAAAUUUGGGCGCUUCGUCCUGAUUGGUUGGAACGGGGUGGGUGUGGAUCAAUGAGGUGGCAUCACAUGAUAGAUUAGCACAACAAAAUUUCCCAUCUCUCUCUCCAAUCUGUCUCAUAGGCUACCUACAAUUGCUCCUCUUCGUUGUCGGUGCCGUCGUCGCUCCACUCCCCCUACCUUUGCUGCUCCUCCUCCUCCUCCUCCUCCUCCUCUUCUUCUUCUUCUUCUUCUUCUUCUUCUUCUUCUUCUUCUUCUUCUUCUUCUUCUUCUUCUUCUUCUCCUAAUACCGUGCCGGUGCGCCCCUCCCUCUUUAUCCCUUGCAAGUCGUUCCCACCAGUCCGGGCUCUUGCUGCUCCGUGAGGCGUUGUCUCCAUCGCGACUAGUGUUGGAAAUAUACCCUAGAGGCAAUAAUAAAUGUUAUUAUUUAUUUUCACGUUUGUAGGUCAUAUUCAUAUUUCUAUGCAAGAAUUGAUAUGGCUCUUGAAUGUGAGAUUCCGAGGAAAACUUAUAUGCAUGUGUAGAAACAUAAACGCAAAGUGUGUUCCUAGUCUCGCCUCUCCAUAGUGGGAGAUUACACAGUUCAAACAAUUAGGAAUUUUUCUGGAACUAAAAUAAACAAAGAAAAAUCUUUGAAUUCAAGAACAAUUACUGAUUACUAAACUUUGAUUUUGCCUUUUUGUUUUAAAAACUAAUGAUUAUUUAUUAAACUAAAAAAUUAACUACUGCUUAUUGGAAAUUAUUUCGUAGUCCGAAUCAUACUAGAUUUUCGUGAUAUAAUAUAAUUUCUAACUAUACAACUUAUACACAGAAAAAUUACCCUAAUCCAUUUUUUCCUCUUGAAUCCUUUAGUUUUAGUUAGCUCAUGAAAAUUUAAUAUUAUUAAUUUCUUAUUAUCCAUAAUGGAUUUACCUGGACCAAUAGAUGAGAUUCUUAUGCUAGCUAUUUGGGGGAUUUGUUCUUCUACUAGGGGGUUUACGAGUAGUAUUACUUACCGACCCCAGUUGUUCUGCCUUUUCGUUGGGAACUUGGCACUAGUUCUUGUUUAUAUAUCUAUAUUCCAUUUUAUUAUUUAAUUCCUACUUUGUAGCCGGCGCACAACUUCUUAUUUAUGUGGGAGCCAUAAAUGUCGUAAUCAUAUUCGUUGUAAUGUUCUAAAUCGCUCAGGAUGGUCUAAAGAUAAGAAUCGUUGGAGUAUUAGAGAUGGGUUCACUUCACUCGUUUGUAUAACUAUUGUUCUUUCACUAAUGACUAUUAUCCCAGAUACAUCAUGGUAGAAGGGGAUUUCUAAAGCAUCAUGUAUUCAUGUUGGACAUGUGUGUUUGGGUGUCUAUUCCAUGUGCUUUCAUCGGCAUCGAUCUAUAAUUUAUUGUGGGUUUAUCUCCAUAAAUCUUGGAAUAAAACGUCGUGACUUCUUGCAAUGGAAAACGUAAAGAAACACGUCUUGUGAAGAUAGUGAACCAACAGCACAUGAUGGCAUGUUUGUCUUGAAGAAUCCUGUACGCUUAGCAUAACAAACCCGGGAAAAAUUGCAUCAAGGUUUCGUGGUGUAGUUGGUUAUCACGUCAGUCUAACACACUGAAGGUCUCCGGUUCGAACCCGGGCGAAGCCAUCCUUUUUCUUUUGUUUUUUCGCAUUUUUCGUUGUGCAUUUUCAAAAAUGUAAAAGAUUAAUGGCCCAUACAGGUCUCGAACCUGUGACCUUCGCGUUAUUAGCACGACGCUCUAACCAGCUGGGCUAAUAGGCCUCUUUGUAAUGUACAUUUUGUCAUUCUAGAUAUUUGCCCAAACUGAAUAUGACUUGCACGGUACCUCCAUUGUCAUCUGACGAAAAGAGUAAGCAGAUCACCGGAGCUCUUUUUUUUUUUUUUUCCUUUCUUAUACAGAUAAUAUGAACCAGAAGAAAAACCAUCUUUGCUUGUUGGAGCGAUCUGCAAAAUGCAGCAACAAAUCUUGGUCGGCUAUCAGGAUUCUCAUUUCACUGUCGACGUUUGGAAGUAUUCGUACCUGUUGGAGCCUUUUUGUCAUUGUUUCUGUGAUGCGAUGGUUGUGCGAAUCAUCUUGCAACAUCUACCUAGUGAUGAAUGCCAUAUGCGCAAGUGGGUAAUUAAUGGCAACUAUAUAUACCCGAUCUAAGCGCUCCAAGAGAAAACAAUAACUCUCGGCUUCUGCAUCAUAGGAUGCACAUAGCCAAAUUUUGUUCAGUUUUUUCGGGGCGACACUAUCUCAUGGAAGAAGGACUAUGUUUUUCGUGGUAUCCCUCCCUUCUCUAUACCUGGACAGGAAAAUAGCGGCUGGCAUGCAUGGAUCACCCAAGUCGCCAUAUGAAAUACUGGUCACCUCACUUAAUCGAUCAUCAUCAUGUCAAUCUUUGGUUUGCGAUGUUUAAAGGCUUGGACGUAUACACAGGGAUACAAGUCGUAUAUCCUUCUUAUGAUGAGAAGAAAAUUAAGAAGAGGAUGAAUCAGAAGAAAAAUCGUCACAAGGAGCAAGUAGGAAAAUCAUCUUUGCUUGUAGGAGCCAUCUACAUAAUGCAGCAAUAAAUCUUCGUGUUGUCUAGUUUCCCAUUUCACUGUCCAUCCUUGUAAAUAUUUGUCUUCGUUGGAAUCUUUUGUCACUGUUUCCGCCUUUAUGUGAUGCAAUUAAGAUACUUUUCAAAAGGAGAAUAAAUACAUAAGAUACUUUUCAAUUAUAUUUUGUUUCUUUGGCGAAAGAUGGAUGAUGGUUAACAUCACAUGCUAGCGGGGUUCAUAACCAGAACCCCUCUAGCAUGUGAUGUACAACUGAGAUUUGUUUCAAAUUUUCUCCCUUACGUUGAUUUUUGAUAUGGAUGCAUGCGUCAUGUGUCAAUUCCUGUUACCAAGCGUGUAUGUGUUUCGAAGACUUGUGUAGUGUACGUUGUUGUCCUUUGUUUGGUUCUGAAGAAAAGGGUAUGUAUACCAAGAUGGAAUGCUCUAACCGUUUCGGUCAUGCAUCCUCUUGUCCCCUCUAACUAUGCGAGAAUCUUUCCAUGCGAAAGAAGCAGCUGCGGCGGUGUGUGCUAUAUGUAUACUAUCGCCUGUCUGAUGAUUUAACUAGAGCGGGGUGCUUUACUAAAAGAAGGGAAGAUUUGCGAGGAAAGAAAGGUACAUAUGGUGAUGUUUGUCCAUCCAUCCAUCCAUCAAUUGUUCCCUGUUUGUUGUCAGAGUCCUUGAUUAAACAAUCUGGGCGAGGGUGAGCUGUGGAAUUAACAUUUGGAGCAACUGUUGCUGCUUGCUUUGUGUUUCAUACUUUCAUGGCAGGUUGGCAACCUGCAGUCUGGUGGCUUCAGCUUGGCUCUGAAGACAUGAGUCAUGCCUGAUGGGGGAGUGCAGGUGUUCUUGGCAGCUUCAAUUUGCAAGGAAUUCGUCCAGACCCGACCUGCUACAGGGUAGAAAAUUGAAAUUCAGCGCUAGGAACAGCAAGUUGAAUAAUUUUAUUCCAGAAAGGAUGGUUACAGGAAAUAUAGGAGCAAAAAAAGAAAUGGGACGAGAGAGGCUCGAACUCUCGACCUCAGGAUCACUCGCUUUAGCUAUGAGACCUACGCGCUAGCCAACUGCGGCACGGGCCCCUUGCGUGUCCGGCUCUCAUCAAGGCGGCGCUCAAGAGAGGUUGUUGUCUACCUAAUGCCAUCCCUUCGAUCAGACUGUAAUGGCAGUAGCCCCGGUUUCACGGGUUUCGAUACCCCAGCAAUGUGCAAGAACAUCCUCGAAAACGUCUGAUGCGACUUCACCUGAAAGUGCAUCUGGAACUGCUCGCAGUGCUGAUUUAGAUGCUGUAGGAACGAACAAAGAUUGUGGUGCUGAAACAACCGGUCAACAGGAUCUGUCCUCUAUUGGCGUUUGAUAGCUCAUUGCUACCUCGCCGGAGGGAUGGGGAGAUAGACUCUGACCCAGAUCUCGCUAUAGCCGCCAACGGAUCAAUUCAUUAAGGGCACACCCAGGCAGGGAAGAAUUCUCAAUUAGUUCAUUGAGUUUAGGAAAGGAUGCCAGUUUGGAACAGUUGGUGGAGCAUGGUGAAACGCGCUCAUUUGGAGUGGCUGAAACAGAAACAUACUCGAGAGCUACUCGUCUUCCUAAAAGCUCUAGCAAUGCAAGACCUGUCCUAAUGCAAUAAAUACUGGUGCUCUCAAAUUCAAUCAGCACAGGUACAGGGCCAGGUGCUUCUCCAGCUCUUGGUACCGUCUCUUGUGCCCCACCUAUAAUGUCAAGAUAGCUCUGUCAACCAACGUUGUUUUAUAGAUCCAACCUUACCAGAUUGAUACCGUCACAUCGUAUCUGUCCACUCCCCUAUUCCCAUCCCGUGAGCCCCCUCCCGUACCUACAUGGCUACACCAUCACCUUGCUGACCCAUCCACCCAGAAUCGCUUUCGGACGGCAGUGUCGGCCCUAGGUCAUGGCAAAAGGUGCGGCGGCCUAAGGCCCAUCUUAAUUAAGGCCCCGAUAUAUCUACAUAUUAAACAAAUUACAAAAAAAAAUUGAUUUGCAGAACAAAAAAUCAACAUGAACAGGUGGCAUAUGCCCCCCCUCCUUAUGGCACUUCACCACGUUCUACUUAUUUAAUAGUUAUUUAUAGUUGAGUUCUUUAACAAGAGGCUGAGUGCGUGCGCUUAGUGUGGCCGGUGCAGCGGUGUUCUUUGUCUUGGUUCGUGCCACGUCACCAAAACCACCGUCAGAAACCGCUUAAAGCAGUGCCUUUGGGGUGUUUUAUCAGUUAUUUCAAAGUUUGGAGGAUUAAGUACCCGGUUUUUGAAUUGAGGGGGUGAUAUGGUCGAAAUCUGAAUGUCUAGGGGGUUAUAUAUAUUUAACUCGACGGCAAAACAUAAGAACUUAAGAAGGCACCAAGGACUGGAUUUGGUACAAGAACCGUGGGAGCAUGGCCUGAAGUUUUUUCCUUUCUAGGUGUUGUUCCGUUAUCUUUUUCUAAUCUUUAGUUUUGAUGUACCGUUAUCUUUUGAUUGCAGUACCGCCUGCCUAAUCCAUCGUACGAAAAAAGAUGGCAAGAAGUUUCGUGGUUGCAUACGAGCUAAGCAACAGGAGAGUCUAAACAAGUUCAGACAUAUUACAUUUUAACUAGGAGCCAAAAGGGAAAUAAUUUAAAGCCAAAGCAAAAAAAAUUAUGGGGCGAGAGAGGCUCGAACCCUCGACCUCAGGAUCACUCGCAUAUUUUAGCUUUGAGACCUACGCGCUAGCCAACUGCGCCACCGCCCCGUUGUGCUUAUUUCUCAAAUCAGAUUUUAUUGUCCGUGGAUGUCUCUUAUAUGUGUUGUAAUUCACGUAAUUGUAUACUAUGUUUGUGAAAAAAAUAGUAGAAGAAUUCGAGUUGGUUAACCAGAUGAUAGAAAAUAGGUAAAGGCGUGUUAUAGAAACAUGAUGACACAUAUAUGUUGAUACAGUUAAACUUGGACGGCAGCAAGUAGGUUGGUUGGUUAUCACUACUCAAAUUGGUUCUAGACUAAAGUAGCCAGGCAUAAAUAUAUGAUUUAAAUCUUCUACCCAUAUUAGUAUUCAAACCCCCAGUUUUACAUAUGCAUCUUCCUGCAGAGACUCCAGAUGCAUGGUCUGUGUACACAACAAAAUUAGCGAUCUCCUCCUUGUAUCUGUCUGGAACCUUUGGUCGCUUGUGGACAAAAUGAUAAGCGGCUCAGUUCAAGAUGCGAAAAGAAAAAACAAUCCAACGGUUCUCAACUAUCAAGAAAUAAACAAGAUCCCCCUUUUCGAAAAAAAAGAAAUAAACAAGACGAUACAUGGAGCCUAGCAUAUGGGCAAAGUUAGCAGAAGACACAAAAGGAUACGCAGAAAGGCGCAGCUGAAGUAGGAUGUAAAUAUAGGUGUGAAUUUUGAGCCACUCAUCUGCAGCAUCAACAUUGGUUACCACAUUGAUCAGAUUCGUGUCAUCACUCCCUCGGUGAUUUAGGCGAUAUGUGCAGAUACAGUUUCCACUCCCCAAGGGGCACCGUGUCAAAGGAUUUUCUUGGAUGUAGCUAUCUCUGGCCGGGUGUGCACCUGAGAAUUUCUCAGGAAAGAAAGAACAAAUCCUCGACCGCAAAACCGACACAUCAUUUUCCCCCACCCUGGGUCUAGCUGUAAUGCUGAGUUAUCUGUGUACAAUUACGCGGCACUAGCUGACCAGAGUUCCCUGCUUCCUACUUCUAUAAUGGAUCCAUCAGAGUGUACUUUGGGGCAGAAAUAGUGCUAUGUUCAGGUUCAGGUUCAUGUUCCAGCAAACUAAACCAUAUAUCAGGAAGGGAAACAGAUUUUGUUUUUUUAGAAAAGGAGGAAGGGAAACAGAUAGUGGUAGCUGGCUGCAAUAAUAAAACAUUUAUUGGUACCUUAAUCCAUAUGUAUGCAUCUCACCUCGCUGCAUCAAGAUAAGCAUUAAGCAUCCUAAAAAAAGGAUAAGCAAUAAGCAACAGUAUAAUGCUCACCUUGGAGGAGAGAAGAUAGAUCAUGUAUAAGAACAAAAAGGUAAUACAAAACUCCUUUUUGGCGAGGCUAUCCAGCAAGAACAAACAAAAGUUUUUUUUUCGGGUACAAACAAAAGGUUGACUCGGGCUCGGCAAGAUGCGACACAUAUCUGCAGCUGGGCUUGUGAACAAAAGGCCCAACGCCCGUUCGUCACUGGAACAAAACUACUAUAAUGCCACGAGUCAGUUUCCAUCCAAACUAGAGUUGUAUGAAAUUCCCUUAAAAAAACUCUUUAUUUUACGGGGCUAUCCAGCAAGAACAAACAAAAGGCUGACUUUGGCUAGGCGAGAUGCGGCACAUCUGUGCAGCUGGGCUUGUGAAUAGAAGGUCUAACGUCCGUUCGUCGGUGGAAAAAAAAACUACUAUAAUGCCACGAGUAGGGAUAAAAAUGGAGUGGAAACUUUUCGUUUUUCUAGCGAAAAAUAAAAACAGAGAGAAAACACAGAAUUUUGCAAAACUGAAAUGAAGUUGGAAUUUUGUAUGCGGAAACAGAAAUGGAAAUGGAACAACGUUUUACGAUGGAACAGGCGCGGAAAUGGAAUAUUUCGUUUCUAUUAAUACAACACAUAAUUAUUAGGCCCUCUACAUAACGUACAUAACGUGUGGCCCAUAUGGCCUAACUUCUAUACUACUAUCAAUACAGUACUAGUAUAUAUACUACUAUUGAAGUCGUCAGCUAUGUAAACAGUGAUGUGUGAUCUGUAUGACCGUAUGAACACUAUUGUGAUUUGCGCUGUAGUGUUUGGUUGUUUGAUGCCUUCCAAGUUUUUGUGUUGCCAAUUGAAUAUUUAUGCACAAAUGAAUAUCAUAUUAUAUAUCCACAAUGUUGAGUAAACGUGAUUGUAUUAGGAAACAUAGGUUAGACUAGGAAAUAUUCUGGCUUGCCUUGUACUCCAAGUAGAUCAUGUACUCCUAUAUAUAUGCCCACGAGGCUCAAGCAAUACAAUGAACUAUUCCAUCAAAUCCCUCUCUCCCCUCUAACAUGGUAUCUAUCGCAAGUUGAUCCUAAACCCUAGCCGUCGCCGCUUCCGCACCCGCGCGCCGCCCCCGGGGCGGUCGGCCUCCAUGACCGCCGCCGGGGGCCGCGCCGCCCGUACCUAGGGUUCGUCCGCCGGUCGUGUUGACUGGCUGCCCUAGAGAGUCUUUUCCCCGAGCCUUGCUCCGGGGUUUUCUCUCUCCCGCCGGUCAUCUUGAUCGCGCGGUUUCUUUUUGGUUUUCCGAUCUAUUCUUGAUCGGUUUGCGUCGCCCACCGCCGCCAUCGACCCCGAGCGCCUCUACUCCGACCCCUGCGCAACCGGCCGGCCGCUUCUCCGACCCGGCGGCCAUGCGCGCCGAGGCGGCCCGUCAGGGCCAGCCGCCNNNNNNNNNNNNNNNNNNNNNNNNNNNNNNNNNNNNNNNNNNNNNNNNNNNNNNNNNNNNNNNNNNNNNNNNNNNNNNNNNNNNNNNNNNNNNNNNNNNNNNNNNNNNNNNNNNNNNNNNNNNNNNNNNNNNNNNNNNNNNNNNNNNNNNNNNNNNNNNNNNNNNNNNNNNNNNNNNNNNNNNNNNNNNNNNNNNNNNNNNNNNNNNNNNNNNNNNNNNNNNNNNNNNNNNNNNNNNNNNNNNNNNNNNNNNNNNNNNNNNNNGUCGCCCUGCGCCGGCCGUCACCGCCCUGCUCCGACUGGGACACCUGCAUCGCCCCGACCCGGCGGCCUCGCGCCAUGCGACGGCCAAUCAUAGCCGUCGCUCGCGCGCCGGCCCGCCCGUCGAUCCACAUCACCCGCCUCGGCCGCGUCUGCACGGCGGCCCGGCGAUCUACCUCGCCGGCCUCGUCCUCGGCUGCGUCGGGACGGCUGCGUCAGGCCCGUCGGCUGCCUGAACUCGGGCGACGCUGCUCCGUUGGUCGCUCAGGCCUCGCUGCCCGGGCGUCGGCGUUGCUUUGGCAGCCCGGGUGCCAGUGCUGACAAGCUCGUCCGCAUGACGUCCCACGCCGUCUGUCGUCUCCGGCUUCAUCUCGGACUCCGCCGCCACCACGCCUCCACCGAGCGGCUUCCCGACCUCGCGCGCGAUCGGCUUGAUAACCCGCUCGCCGCCGCGAUCCGCCUCAUCUAUGCCGCGCGACCGACCUGGCCCGUCGGUUACGCUCGCCUUCGCAGGUCCCGUGAAGAUCGUCCCCGAGUUCAGCGCGCCUGUCCACCGAUCGAGCAUCGGGCUGCCGCUGCGUCGCCCCAUCGGGCCGCAGCGCCGCCGCCCCGUGGUUCUCUCGCGGCUGCAUCGACUCGUGCGUCGCCGCUGCAUCGCCUCUUCGGGCCGUAGUGUCGCGAUAUGCGGUCCCCGCCGCCGCCCCGAGGCCGUCCCCGCGGUUGCACCGAAUCGCGAACCGCUGUUGUGUCACCCCUUCGGGCCGCAGCGUCGCGGUCCGCGGUCCCCGCCGCCACCCAGAGGUCUUCCCGCUGUCGCCCCGACCCGCCUGCCGCCGCUGCGUCGCCCCUUCAGGCCGUAGCGCCGCGGCCCGCGGUCCGCUCCGCCGUCACCGCGCGUCGACCUCCCGUGGUAUGCGUCGCGUCGUCUUCCUUGGCGCGGGAACGCCACCAUCCGCGCCGGUCUUUGUCACGCUGUUAGGGUUCUUCGCCUACUUCGAGCACCGCCGCCGCACUCCUAACCUAGCCGCCGCCGCCGCCGUCAGGCCGCCGCCGCCGCUACCUUCGUAAUCGCCGCCGCCGCCCGUCCACCCCCUUCGUCUUCGUCCAAGCACCAGCCCGUCGCCAGCGUCGCCAUCAUCUACCCCGACCACUUCGUCUACUCCGACCACCGUUGGUGACAUCGGCCCUGCGCCGAUGGACGCCGCAAUCGUCGUCGAGUUCUUCUCUGCUGGCCCCUCCGACUUCUCCGACAUGGCGUACAACUCGUGCAGGUCCCUCGUCUACGCAUGCCCGGUGCUGGCAACACCGAUGCGUGCCUUCAUCCACGACAUGUCCCCGGGCCUGGCAAGCCUGGUUGGCGCUUCGUCAACUUCGUCUUCAUCCGUCUACGCAUGCCCGAUGCUGGCAACACCGGUGCGUGCCUUCGUCCACGAUGUGUCCCCCGGGCUUGGCAAACCCGCCGCGACGCGUCGUCAACAACAUUUUCUUCCCGGCGCACCCCUACUUCGACACCACUGCGCCCAUGCUAACUCGGCGCCCUCUUGCGCCCGCGGCUCCACGACGACUUCCUCGACACCGGUCACCCCGACUCGACAUCGACCACGGCAUUCUUCGCACGGCUACCUCGACCACAGCUCCACCACCCACGCUCUUGGCUACAUCGACAAACGGCACAAAGGGCUACCGCCUGCUUGAGCAACCUUGUUGGUUUCCACUCCAGCCACGACUCCGCGAUGCGUCGACCGUUACAACUGUGGGGGGGUGUCCGCUUGCCUUCGGAUUCUUCUCCAGUCUCACCGUUUGCGUCGCUACCGUUGUGACUGCGGGGGGAUAUUAAGUAAACAUGAGUGUAUUAUAAAACAUAGGUUAGACUAGGAAAUAUUCUGGCUUGCCUUGUACUCCAAGUAGAUCAUGUACUCCUAUAUAUAUGCCCACGAGGCUCAAGCAAUACAAUGAACUAUUCCACCAAAUCCCUCUCUCCCUUCUAACACACAACAUAUCUUAAUAUUUUGAUACCUUCCAAGUUUUUGUGUUGCGGAAGUUCAAUUGUACUUUGUUGGUUUCAUUGUGGUUUUUCUACGGUUCAAGGGUCUUUGGUUUCAGUGAACACUCGAUUCCGUCUGCGUGUAUGUGUCGUAUUCGCUCCGGUUUCAUUCCCGGGGUUUUUGUAUUUUUUUCCACUUUUCAAAAUAAAUAUGAAAACAAACGUGGCAGCAUCAAGUUCCGUCCGUUUUCACUUCGUUUUCAUCCCUAGCCAGAGUCAGUUUCCACCCAAACUAGGGUAGUAUAAAAUUCCCUAAAAACUAGAUUAAUAUAAAAUCAUAGAUAUGCAGAAUGGAAAAAAGAAGUGAGUGAUGCCCAUUAUUUAGUAGUUGUUACUAGAUCUUAGCGGGUUUAAGCAUUUCUUAAUGAUAAUGUAGUUUCUAGUAGCGUUUGCUUCCUUUAGUGUCGAUUCGAACCAUUGGACGCCAUGAUGGCGGAUCGUCGCCUCUCUUCUGCUUUCGCUAAAUCUCUAUGUCUUGGUUCUAAAUAUGGGUGGCCGGAUUGUGUGUUUCCCCUUGAUAUUCUCAAACGACCACCUUGUGCUGCCUGACUUUUAUAUUUAGGAGGUUCAAGCGGGAGGGUUUGGGGACAAUGCAUGUUCUAUUUACCAGACUCGUGGUGUUGGCUUAUUCUCUCUUGAUUUUCUUAUGCACUACCACACUAGUAGAAAAAGGGUCAAAUGUCAAGCACAUUAGUGUCAGUUUGCUUUUGAGCCGGCACUAAUGCACACAUUAGUGCCGGUUCCAACGGCUAGCCAGCCGCUUUCAUUAGUACCGGUUCGUGGCCGACCUUUAGCACCGGUUCGUGCCAUGGACCGGUACUAAAGUGAGUGGUGGCAGGAUGUUGUCAGUCCGGGGCCCCUCCAGCACCUUUAGUACCGGUUCAUGGCACGAACCGGUGCUAAAGGUCGUCCUACAUAAGCCCUUCGUCCACCCGAGCUCGCUCUGUUCUUCCCCUUUCCUCUCUCCUCUCUGUUCUUCCCCUCUUCCUCUCGAGCUCAUCACACAUUUUGCCCAAAAUUUGUCAAGAUUUGAAGGCCCCCAUCCAUUCAAAUGAUCACAAAGGUUAGCAACUUUGUCCUUUCAUCUCUCAUUGCUAGAUUAGCUCUUGCAAUGCUUUGUAUAGUGAUUAAUUAUGAGUUUAGUAAUUUGGUAGAAAAUAUAUGUGCUAGUAUUUGAUUUAUAUGCAAUUUGUGGUCAAAACUAACACUUAGUUUGCAUAUGUAGGUGUGGUUUACUUAGUGCCUUCUAAAUCUCCGUCGUAACCACAGUCGAUCGCCCGCACCGUUCCGUCGCCGGCACCACCUUGUGGUGAGCCUCUUGUUCAUGAAUGUUUUACAUUACCAAAUUGAUGUUUGUGUGAUUUGGAUAUAUAGUUACUCGUAUAAUUAUCUUACCCGUACGUUGUCUGUUAUACAUAGUGCCAUGGUUUUGAUAUCCGUCCCCGUCGGCCCUCGUCCUUGUUAUGAUUCGGAUGUGGUAUAUUCUCUUUUAAAACUAGUUGUUGCAUUUCAUGUUUAUGACAAAUUAUGCCCAUCAAGUUGACAUAGAUAUUUUUGUCUAGGAGGUUUGUGAACCGGAAAUUCCAACCGACCCUAUUGUCGAGAGGUUAAAUUUAGUUGAAAGAGAAAACAAGUAUUUGAAAGAAAAAUUGAAAAGAAUUGAGGGGGAGAAGAUGGAAUUGGAGUUGCAUGUUGCCGAUGUCGUCGAUGAUCACAAGAUCAAGAUGGAGAAAAUGCGAUUGAAGAUUAGAAAGAUUAGAAAAUAUGCCAUUGAUAGUGAGGCUUGGUAUCAUUAUGCUGUUGGAUCAAUUGUUACCUUAGUUGCGAUCUUGAUCGCAUUUUUUGUUGCAUUUAAAUUCUUUAGUUAGAGAGUUAUUUGUUUGUUGCAUUUAAGUCUUGUAUGAACUUUAUGUAUGAACUUUAUGUAUGAACUUGUAUUAAUUUGGUCUAUUCGGUGUUGUGUAAUGAAGAUGAGCCGACAAUGGAUGUACGAUGACCGAUGCUCUCCCGAGUUCAUUAAUGGCGUGCAAACUUUUCUGCUUGCGGCUGAGGCAAACAAGCGGGCGGAUGGUUUUAUGCCUUGUCCAUGUUUAGUCUGUAAGAAUGAUCACAAUUACUCUACAUCAAGAACCAUUCACGUCCACCUGUUUAAGUCCGAUUUCAUGCCCCACUAUAAUGUUUGGACCAAGCACGGAGAAAGAGGGGUUAUGAUGGAAGACAAUGAAGAAGAAGAGGACGACGACAACUAUCCUGGCCAUGGGUUCCCUGAAUACGAUGAUACAACAAUGGGGGAAGAAGCUGAGCCGGCAAUGCGGGAAGAAGCUGAAGAAGAGGCAUCAGAUGAGCCCGCUGAUGAUCUAGGUCGGGCCAUUGCCGAUGCAAAGAGAAACUGCGCAAGUGAUUUGGAGAAGAAGAAGUUGCAGCGCAUGUUAGAGGAUCACAAGAAAUUGUUGUACCCGAAUUGCGAAGCUGACAAGAAAAAGUUGGGCACCACACUGGAAUUGCUGCAAUGGAAGGCAGAGAAUGGUGUAUCUGACAAGGGAUUUGGAAGGUUGCUGGUAAUGAUAAAGAAUAUGCUUCCAAAGGACAACGAAUUGCCCGAGAGUACGUACGAAGCAAAGAAGGCUGUCUGCCCUCUAGGGUUAGAGGUGCAGAAGAUACAUGCAUGCCCUAAUGACUGCAUCCUCUACCGCGGUGAGUACGAGGAUUUGAACGCUUGCCCGGUAUGCGGUGCAUUGCGCUAUAAGAUCAGGCGCGAUGACCCUGGUGAUGUCGAGGGCGAGCGCCCCAGGAAGAAGAUUCCUGCCAAGGUGAUGUGGUAUGCUCCUAUAAUACCACGGUUGAAACGUUUGUUCCAAAACAAAGAGCAUGCCAAGGCGAUGCGAUGGCACAGAGAAGACCGUAAGAAAGACGGAAAGUUGAGAGUACCCGCUGCGCAGUGGAGAAAAAUUGAGAGAAAGUACGGGAAGGAGUUUGCAGAUGACGCAAGGAACGUAUGGUUUGGUCUAAGCGCCGAUGGCAUUAAUCCUUUUGGGGAGCAGAGCAGCAACCAUAGCACCUGGCCUGUGACUCUAUGUUUGUAUAACCUUCCUCCUUGGUUGUGCAUGAAGCGGAAGUUCAUUAUGAUGCCAGUGCUCAUCCAAGGCCCUAAGCAACCUGGCAACGACAUUGAUGUGUACCUAAGGCCAUUAGUUGAAGAACUCUUACAGCUGUGGAAUGGAACAGGUGUACGUGCGUGGGAUGAGCACAUGGGGGAAGAAUUUGACCUAAAGGCCUUGCUGUUCGUGACCAUCAAUGAUUGGCCUGCUCUCAGUAACCUUUCAGGACAGACAAACAAGGGAUACCGCGCAUGCACGCACUGUUUGGAUGAUACCGACAGUAUAUAUUUGGACAAUUGUAGGAAGAAUGUGUACCUGGGACAUCGUCGAUUUCUUCUGAGCAGGCAUCCCGUAAGAAAGAAAGGCAAGCAUUUCAAAGGUGAGGCGGAUCACCGGACGAAGCCUCGCCACCGUACUGGUGCUGAUGUACAUGAUAUAGUCAAGGAUUUGAAGGUAGUCUUUGGAAAGGGUCCUGGCGGACAACCUGUUCCGAAUGACGCUGACGGACGCGCACCCAUGUGGAAGAAGAAAUCUAUAUUUUGGGACCUGCCCUAUUGGAAAGAUCUAGAGGUCCGCUCUGCAAUCAACGUGAUGCACGUGAUGAAGAAUCUUUGCGUGACCCUGCUUGGCUUCUUGGGCGUGCAUGGGAAGACAAAAGAUACACCUGAGGCACAGGAGGACCAGCAACGAUGCAUGGAAAAGACGGCAUACAUCAGGGUCAUGCCAGCUACGCUCUUACCAAAGAAGAGAAGGAAAUCUUCUUUGAAUGCCUGCUCAGUAUUAAGGUACCGUCUGGCUUCUCGUCGAAUAUAAAGGGAAUAAUAAACAUGGCAGAGAAAAAGUUCCAGAACCUAAAGUCUCAUGACUGCCACGUGAUUAUGACGUAACUGCUUCCGGUUGCAUUGAGGGGGCUUCUACCGGAUAACGUUCGAUUAGCCAUUGUGAAGCUAUGUGCAUUCCUCAAUGCAAUCUCUCAGAAGGUAAUCGAUCCAGAAAUCAUACCAAGGUUAGAGAAUGAUUUGGUGCAAUGUCUUGUAAGUUUCGAGUUGGUGUUCCCACCAUCCUUCUUCAACAUCAUGACGCACGUCCUAGUUCACCUAUGCGAAGAGAUUAGCGUUUUGGGUCCUGUAUUUCUACACAAUAUGUUCCCCUUUGAGAGGUUCAUGGGAGUCUUAAAGAAAUAUGUUCAUAACCGUGCUAGGCCAGAAGGAAGCAUCUCCAAGGGCCAUGAAAAUGAGGAGGUCAUUGAGUUUUGUAUUGACUUUAUUCCUGACCUUAAGCCGAUUGGUGUUUCUGAAUCGCGGCAUAAGGGCAGACUGAUGGAAAAGGCACGCUAGGAGGGAAUCAAAAAAUAUGUAUGGACGUACAUUCUCUCAUUGAAGCACACUACACAGUUAUACAGAAUUCCGCCUUGGUGGCUCCGUAUAUGGACGAACACAAGAAUUUUCUAUGCUCCGAACACCCGGAGCAGUCUGAUGAUUGGAUUACACGUGAACAAACCAGGAGUUUCGCCCGCUGGUUGCAGACACGUACCAUGCAUGACGCCUCUAUUGAAGAUGACCUGUACUCGCUGUCCCAGUUACCAUCUUCGAAUAUAAUGACUUUCAAAGGGUAUGAGAUAAAUGGUAAUACAUUUUACACGAUCGCCCAAGAUAAGAAGAGCACCAACCAAAACAGUGGUGUCCGCUUUGAUGCAACAACCAAGACGGGAAAGGAAACAUAUUAUGGUUACAUAGAGGAGAUAUGGGAACUUGACUAUGGACGUGAUUUGAAGGUCCCUUUGUUUCGGUGCAAAUGGGUCAAUAUGACACGAUAUGGGGUAACGGAAGACCCGCAGUAUGGAAUGACAACAGUGGAUCUCAACAAUCUUGCGUAUGCAGACGAACCAUUCGUCCUAGCUAAUGAUGUGGCACAGGUUUUCUAUGUGAAGGAUAUGUCUACCAAGCCGAGAAAAAGAAAAGAUAAGGAAGCGAAUGCAUCAUACGAUGAGCCAAAUCGCCACAUAGUUCUUUCUGGGAAGAGAAACAUCGUGGGAGUGGAUGACAAGACAGACAUGUCAGAAGAUUAUGAAAAGUUUGAUGAAAUUGCUCCAUUCACAGUGAAUAUUGACCCGAGCAUCCAGUUAAAUGAUGAAGAUUUUCCAUGGCUACGGCGCAAAGGGACAUACGCGAAGAAAAAGUUUCACACCUAAAGAUCUGGGAUGUGAUCGGCUUCACUAUCAUCACUUUCUUCUGUGUUUCACACCCAGGAGGGAAUCUCUGUAAUAGUUAGGGUAGUUAUGUGUUUUGGCAUUUGAAACGCGAAGAAAUUUUAUGUGCAAACAAAUCCUUUCAUGCAUUUCCUGAUUUUUUCAGCUAAAUGACCCUGAAAUUGAAAAGCAUUUCAAAUGAACUCAGAAAAGGUUGAAAGUUGGCACGGUAUCAUAAUUUCACCCACAUAGCAUGUGCAAAAAAGUAGAGAGGGUUACCGCAAAAACUGGAUGCACUUCGUGUAUAAAAUGGACAAUCUCUUUCGAAGUAUCAGGGUUUCGGAUGAAAACUCAUCCGUUACAAAGGGAUUUCAUUUUUUAAAUAACCUAGGCAUUACCAAAUUGAAUAUAAUGAUAAAACACACUAAUAUUAAACAUAAGAAAAAAGAAUCACUGAAAAUCUAUUUUCAAAGUUAAGUUAUUCACACUAGUGAUUCACACAAAUUUCAAGUAAUUCAAAAUGUAAACUAUUCAAAUUUGUAAACUACCGGCACUAACAGAAAGUUUGUAAUUUUUUGUACCUAAAGCAAAAAUAUUCCCAAAGAAACUCUAAAUAUAGCAAAAAAUAACUCAAAAAUAAAUAAACCAAAAAUAAAUAAAGCAAAAAAAUAAGAAAAUAAAAAAGCCCACCUACUGGGCUAGAGUGGCCUGCAUACGACUAGAAACCCAACCUGUAGUUGGGCCAGGAUGCAGGCCCGCAAGCCCAGUAGGCCCACAGGCAGAGUAGGAGAGGUAGGCCCAGAAGGCCUGCUAUUGAGAGGAGCUCUAUGCAGUGCCCGCGUCGGGGCUUAUAAACUGGUCCUGACGCUCCUCAACUAGUGAGGUGGGACGAAACUUCUGCGCCCCUCGCCUGGCAGUGCACACCCUUUAGUACCGGGUGGUGGCACCAACCGGUACUAAAGGGUGGGCUUUUAGUACCGGUUGGUGCCACCACCCGGUACUAAAGGUGGGCGCUUCCCGCCGCUUGGCCUGGCCAAAAUCGACCUUUAUUACCGGUUGGUGGCUCCAACCGGUACUAAAGGACCAUCCUAUAUAAGAAACACUUACGAAAAUUUCGUCAGUUUUCUCCCACUUCUCUCUGCUUCAUCGCCGCCGCCCCGUCCCGCGCCGUCGCCGCCGCCGUCGCGCCGUCCCCGUCGACUCCGCGCCGCCCCCGUCCUCGUCGCGCCGUCCGNNNNNNNNNNNNNNNNNNNNNNNNNNNNNNNNNNNNNNNNNNNNNNNNNNNNNNNNNNNNNNNNNNNNNNNNNNNNNNNNNNNNNNNNNNNNNNNNNNNNNNNNNNNNNNNNNNNNNNNNNNNNNNNNNNNNNNNNNNNNNNNNNNNNNNNNNNNNNNNNNNNNNNNNNNNNNNNNNNNNNNNNNNNNNNNNNNNNNNNNNNNNNNNNNNNNNNNNNNNNNNNNNNNNNNNNNNNNNNNNNNNNNNNNNNNNNNNNNNNNNNNNNNNNNNNNNNNNNNNNNNNNNNNNNNNNNNNNNNNNNNNNNNNNNNNNNNNNNNNNNNNGCCGCCGGCGCUGUCGCCUUGGCUCGCCGUCGCCGUCGCCUGCACACACAACACAUACACACACAUACACACACACACCAUACACACACACAUACACAAUUUUUGUUCUGUUUUUAGUUUUUAGUUUUUCUGUUUUCAGUUUUUAGUUUUUCUGUUAUUAGUUAUUAGUUUUUAGUUUUUUUUUCAGUUUUUUCUGUAUUAAUGUUAUAGAAAUGUUAGUUAUAUAUAGAAAUGUUAGUUUUUUCUGUAUUAAUGUUAUAGAAAUGUUUGUUAUAUAGAAAUGUUAAAGAAAAAUUAGCUAUACAAUUUUAGUUAUAGAAAUGUUAGUUUUAGAUAUGGUCGAUGUUUUUUUAGUUUAUUAUAUUUUUAGUUAUAAAAUUUAGAAUUUGCAUAUAAGAAAUCACAAUCCAAUCAUUUAAAAAAUGUUACUUUACUUUUGCGGCAUAUAGUAUUUGUUGUCGACGAUGCCCGGCCCGCAUCCUCGCCGUCGACCCGUUCGCGAGGACGUCCUGCUUCAGAGGACCCAUGUCCGGGAUUGGGCUCCGCCGGGCUGGCACUGGGAGGUGCUACCUGGAGGGGCGCGACGCUUGGUGAGGAACCCGGCCUCGGGUCCCGUCGUCGACCCUGAUCUCCUUUUGUGGCGUUCGCGUGGGCCACAUUCGGUGCAGAGGGAGCCGGCCCCGCCGGAGGUGGUGCGUCGUCGUGUCAGGGAGGAGGACGAGCACGUCCAUCGCUACAUGGCUGCUAUGGACGUCAGGUUCUCCAAUACCUGGCAGGUUCUUUGGGCAGAUGACCGGAGAUAUGAUCCUAUGAUGGUUCCUUGUCUUUGGGUGUCCACCGCCCGCGCCCCAGGAACCGCGAGUGGCCUAGAUUCUUCUAUAGUAUUCGAUCUUUAUUAGCUACCUAGCCAGUGAUGUAUUCGAGAUUAUAUAUUAUUUGAGACGAUGUAUUCGAGAUUAUAUAUUAUUCGAGACGAUGUAUUCGAGAUUAUAUAUUAUUCGAGACGAUGCAUAUUAUGUACUAUAUGAUUCAGUUUUUCCUUAUUGAUUGCAUCCAUGCAUUGUAAUUUGAAUACUAAAUUGUUUUAUAUUUCUUCUGUAUUAGUUAAAUAAAAGCUAUGGCGGACAAUACCGGCAGAGAGGGAGAAGAGGCCCUGCUCGAGAUCAUACGCAGCCCUAGCAGGCCAGAUGAUCUGAAUGAAGCAAAUGACGGCUCCCAAUAUCUGAACAAUACCGGGGAGGGUGAUGAUAAGAUAUUCGAUCUCGACGACUAAGCUGAUGAAGUCAUGAACUAUGAUUAUGAUUAUGAUGAUGCAGACAAUGAUUAUGAUGACGAAUACAAUGUUGAUCUUGAAAUAACAAAGACUACCGGCGAGGUAUAUUUAUAUAAGCAGGCAUCUAGUGAUCAUCACAUGUUUUUUUAUUUGAAGAUAUAUUAACGAAUCGAUCUUUCUUCUUUCAGCCCUCCGGAUCAUGCAAAUCCGUUUCUACAGACAGCAGGACAAAGUGCCGCCUGAGCAAAAAGUUGAAGGAGGGUGUAAAUUACAACAUCGAUUCCAUCAAAGCUAGUGGCGAACCCCUCACGCCUAAAAACAUUGCGAGCAAGUUCGUUCGUCAGUGCGGAGUUUUUGUGAAGGACCAACUCCCGAUCUCCAUUCAAGAAUGGAAAGAGCCAAAAACAAAACGCCCAGAUGUUACUUGGGUCGACGACAGAGCAAAACAAAAGCUUUGGGAAUCUCUGAUGGAACAUUUCACCCUACCAGAUUAUUUCACCGAUGCAGAUGUGCAGAAAGUCAAGGACGCUGCUCUUAAGAAGAUGGCAAUUGCAUUCAACACCCACAAGAAAACUGUAUGGGCCAACUACCUCGCUGCAGAAAGGAAGACUCCAGAAUUCAAGGGAACACUGGAGAAGCAAAGAGAACACUGGCCCGCUUUCGUGAAAUUCAAGGAAUCAGAAUUAUCUAAGGAACGGUCGAGAAAAAACAAGGCCAAUGCCGCAAAAAAGACGCAGUUCCAUAGGCUGGGUCCAGGUGGCUACGCGGUGGCAAUGACUAAGUGGGAUAAGUCUAAGCAAGAGAUGGAGGAUGCAGGGGUCACUCCGGUUACUAGGAGCUGGCCCCCCAGGUGCAGAACUUGGUUCUAUGCGCAUGGGGGGGGGCGUUGGACCCGAAGACGGGCCUGGUUUCGAAGAAGGCAAGUCUAAACGGAGCAGAACAAAAGUUACUUGACGCAAUAGAAGAUGCUCGAAAGGGGGUGUUCACGCCCAACAGAGAGAACAACGAGCUUACGCGCGCCCUGGGAAAUCCUGAACACCCGGGAAGAACACGAGGCAAUGGCAUUAUUCCCUAGUAUGAGGGCUUUUCGGAAUGGAACGACGACUACAGGACCCGUGCAAGAAAGAAGAUGGAGGAGGAGAAGAAGAGGAGGCUGGAGGAGGAGCAGAGGAAGCAGGACGCGGAACGCCUUCAAGGCCUAGAAGCAAGGCACGCGGACUUGGCACUCAAAUUCCAGCAGCAGCAGCAGCAGCAGAUCGACUCACUUAGCCAGGAAAGGGGGUCUCAGCAGCGGCAGCAGCAAGCGGAUGAUCAUCCAGCAUUGGAUAGCACCGUCCCAUCCAUGCCGAGAAGCAGCGUUGGUUCCGCCCCGGGCGACGCACUGCUGGAUACAUACCCUGUGGAUGACAUCAUAGAGAACACUAACUGUGAGCUACACUUCAAAAUGAAGAACAUAUCCAUGAAGGUGGCGAACGCCGUUGCUUUUACAAUUACCCCCGAAGCAACCUUCCAUUGCGCCCCGAUUCCAGCGGGCUAUGCUCGUGUCUUGGUUGAUGAGGUGGUGGGCCCAUAUUCGGGGCUAGAGCUUGACAUUCCUGGAGGUGACGACGAGCAAACACUGGGGGAGGCCAUACAUCGUUUCAUCCUAUGGAAAAAGGAUUGCAUCAUCUUUCGAAGUCCACCGACACCGCGUCUGCCGACUCCUCCUUGAAGUCCGCCACCGUGUCAGCAGACUCCCGCUCCUCCAAGUCCACGAACGCGUGAGCAGACUCCUGCUUCAAAUCCGGCACAGCGUCAGGCCACUCCUCCUGUUUCAAGUCUGACACCGUGUCAGGCCACACCUCCUACUUCAAGUCCGGCACAGCGUCAGGCCACACCUCCUGCUUCAAGCCCGACACCGUGUCAGGCCACACCUCCUGCUUCAAGUCCGGCACAGCGUCAGGCCACUCCUCCUGCUCCAACUAAGCCACGUCAGCCGUCUCCGCCGCCUAAGCAAUCGCAGAAGAGACACGCCGCAGCUAUGGUACGUAGCGGUACGAGUCGAGGUAGUACAGAAAGUACAGGCGGAGACAAGCGAUAUAAAUAUGGUCCAAGCAGCCUCGCUCCUCUUCCUCAGAGGCCUUACGACAUGACCGAGGAGCAAAAUGAUGCAAUAGUGCGGGCCGAAGUAGACGCUCAUUUUCGACCGAAACCGGCAACGCCGCCGAGGGAGAAAGUGCCUGAGGAAAAGAUUGACCACUUCAUUCGUAUGGCUAGACCACCAGCUCCCAAGCCUGUUGACUCAGACUAUGAGCGCCAAAUCAGGAAGGCACAUCGAGCACGACUACAGAAAGAAGCGAGCUCGAGCUCGAUCCAACAAGCAGCUGUCAAAAAAAUGCGGGAAAACCGUUCCCCAGCUGGGAGAACAGGCNNNNNNNNNNNNNNNNNNNNNNNNNNNNNNNNNNNNNNNNNNNNNNNNNNNNNNNNNNNNNNNNNNNNNNNNNNNNNNNNNNNNNNNNNNNNNNNNNNNNNNNNNNNNNNNNNNNNNNNNNNNNNNNNNNNNNNNNNNNNNNNNNNNNNNNNNNNNNNNNNNNNNNNNNNNNNNNNNNNNNNNNNNNNNNNNNNNNNNNNNNNNNNNNNNNNNNNNNNNNNNNNNNNNNNNNNNNNNNNNAACAACACAUGAGAGUAUGCGCGCCCAAUAUUAUUGUGGGCAAACCGUUUACGUUUCCGAGCUGGGCGAUGUGGUAAUAACUGAGGAGCAUAUAAUGCAGGCUGAAAUGCUCAAGAUCAUUGUUGGACAACUCCUCGAUAUCGAGCCCAUGCCUCCGCUUAGAGAGGAGGAAAUAAAACGGAAAUAUGUCCGCGGCGAACCUUUGGUCGAGCCCGAGGAGGUCAAGAACCUCCCAACGAGAAUGUAUGAAUUGCAUGAUUGGUACAUGAAAAUUACCAAGAUUUCCAAUCGAGAGUCCCUCAUGGUGCAAGUCGAGGAAGAUCAUUACUUCCAUAAGAAAGCUCUGGCCGUUGAGUAUUCAGAACUAUUUCAGUUAUUCAAUCAAGAUGCACUCGACAAAUCUAUCGUCAGUUGCUAUUGUCUGUAAGUGAUUUCUUUCUGUAAUUUAAGUCUCAAGCUAGCUCUAGUGCUCAUUGAUUGAUCAUUAAUUACCUGUAAUUAUAUAUCCUCACUAUAUAUUCUUUUCUGUGGUAUUAUGCAUGAUGAAGAUGUAUUAAUUUUCUUUGCCGGCGGGUAGGGCUUGGGCAAAGUACAUCAAGGUGACUCCAGAAAAAUGGCGACAAAAGCUAUGUUGGUAUCGACCCAAGGUAAGUAAUUAAGUAGUACUAGCUAGCUAGCUACCAUCUCUUUAAUUCUUGUUUCAAUACCAUUAAUUAAUUAACAUGCUUGAUUAAUUAUUAUCUGAUUAAAUUCUAUUGUCGUAAAGGCCCUGAAGCAGGUGCCGGGGACUGAAGUGUGUGCAUACUAUGUUUGCGAGAACAUUCGCAUGAUGGCGUCCGAAAGGAGCAGAUCUGAUAGACAGGACUGGGUACGUUUGCCAGAACGCUAUUCACAAAUCUUACAUGAUUGUCGAUAUCUAGUCACACAACUAAUACACAUGCAUAUUGAUCUCCUUCUUAACAGUUCAAAGAGGUGCGGGACAAGCUCCUAUCAGAGGAGCGCAUACGAGCACUUCAAAAGAAAAUAGCGGGAUUUUUGCUCGACCAGGUCAUAGAUCCCAAAGGAGAAUACUAUUACCCGCUACCGCCCCAUGAACCACUUGUCAUCGUGCUCCGAAGGCACCAAGGCAACAUGUAGGAGAAAUUGUAUAUAUAUACAUGUGUAUGUGUGAAUAAUUAAUGGUGGUUGUGAGACAUUCGAUUAUAUAUAUAUGAUCAGUUCUACGAGAAAAUCUAUUUAUAUAUAUGCAUGACGUGUACAAUAUGUAGUAUCGUAAAAUACCAGCAAACAAAAAAGAAUUAAAUGAAAAACACAAAAUUAAUGGAAAAUAAAAAUUAAAACCAAAACCCUCCAAACAUUUAGUACCGGUUGGUGCCAUGUGGUGGCACUUUAGCGCCGGUUCGUGCCGAACCGGUACUGGGGGGGGGCUUUAGUCUCCACUCCAUAGUGACGGUUGCAGAACCGGCACUAAAGGCCCUUACGAACCGAUGAUAAAGGCCUGUUCUGCAAUAGUGCCAGGAGGCCCAUGUUUUGUUGUUGGUCUCGUCCCGGUCAAGCUGCCAUUUCCUCCUUUAACCUCAUUUUCAGAGGUCCCGCGGCAGAGAAUGGAUUGAUGUGAGCUCGAUAUCCAAUGUUGCCAACCCUUAUUCGGUUUGACCCCCAGUCUGUGGUCAUCAUCGAUGCAUGUGCUUCAACAUCUUCGAUGGCACUAGGGGACUCUUCCUCGUCCAUUCCAAUUGGAGGUGUCGGUUAGCUCUUUUCAACAUUGAUGAUAGGUUCGAGACAGGUUGUGCCCAAUGGGGAUUUCCCCAGUCAUCAUGUUGGAUGCGUUUGUUUUUGUUUCUUCUCCAUGUGCCCAUGUACAUGUUCCAUUGGUCCUUUCUUCAUCUAUAUAUAAUUUAUUGCGGGCUCAUCUUCAUAAAUCUUGGAAGACAAUGCUGAGACUUUUUUCCAUGAAAAAUCCUUACUUAAAGGAUACUUGUCUUGUAAAAAUAGUGGAUGAACAGCACAUGACGUGUACUGUAUGUCUUGGAAGAAUGCUGAACAUUAUUUAUUAAUAUAGAUAUGUUGGAUGAAACAAAAUAAACAAAAAGGUUUCGUGGUGUAGUUGGUUAUCACGUCAGUCUAACACACUGAAGGUCUCCUGUUCGAAGCCAUCAAUUUUUUUUCUUUUUUUUCUCGCAUUUUCCAAUGAGUAAAAAAAAGAAAAAAAAUAUUUGGCCCAUAAAGGUCUCGAACCUGUGACCUUCGCGUUAUUAGCACGACGCUCUAACCAGCUGAGCUAAUAGGCCUCUUGGUUUGCAAUAGUUUUUGAGGUAUAUAUUCGAACAGAAUAAGACUCGUACCACUCCUCUUGUGGUGAGAUGGAAAGAAUAUGAUCACUGUGGCCUUUUUUGGAUGUUAAGCUGAUCUUAUGAAUCAUAAUAAAAAACCCAUCUCUGCUCGUUAGAGCCAUCUGCAAAAUGCAGCAACAGAUCUUGGUCCUUGGCUAUCUAGAUUCCGAUUUAACUGUCCACGUUUGUAAUUAUUUGUAGCUGUUGGAGCCUUUCUGUCAUUGUUUCUGUGAUGAGAUGGGUACCUAAACCAUCUUGCAACAGCUACAUAGUGAUAAAACCAUACGUGCAAGCGGGCAAGUAGUGACAGCUAUGCCAAAUUUGCAAAUUCGACUAUGCUAUCUCUAUCUGUGCCAUAUUUUGCAAUAGCCACAUAGUGAUAAAGCCAUAUGUGCAUAGUUUCCAUUACUGCGGGCAGGUAAUACCCACUAUAAGUGGUUGAAGAGAAAAUAAUCACUCUUGACUUCUGCAUCACAGGAUGCUCAUAACCAAAUUAAUUAUAUCUUUUUGGGAGUGAGGGCACUAUCUCCUGGAAGAAGAACUAUGUUUUUCGCGGUAUCCCUCCCUUCUCUAUUCCUGGAUAGGAAAAUAACGGCUAUCAUGAAGCAUCCAAGAGGCAUACGAAAUACUAGACUUCGGCACCCACCCAGCCCCCGCGUCGCCCGCUCGGGCGACUCGGGCGGCAACUAGGGUUUCGAGCGCCGCCACCUACAUCUCCUUCCCCCCUCCUCGCCGCUACCCGAGGAGGUCGCCGGGCAAGCCCGCGCGACCACCGGUGACGGUGGCGGCGAGGCCUUCGUCGCUCCGUCCGCGGAGAUCUGGAUCCACGGGGCGGCGGCCCCUGCCGAUGCGGCGCCGCCGUUCACGCCCAGGACGGUGUGCGCAGGGGCUCUGACCGGCGUCCCCGACCGCUCGGGUGGUGGGGCGUCGGCGCUUGCGGCAGCAGCGUGGGGGCCUUCUUCCUCGCCAGAUCUAGAGGUCUGCUGCUCCUUCCUUCCCGCUCCUUCCCCUUUGCGCUUGAUGCCGGCGGCUGCUGCUGGAUCCGGUGCUCUUGGGGAUGGUGGUGCAGAUUGGGACCGGGGGAAACCCUAGGCCGGCUGGUUCGGCUCGACAGCGGCGUCGGCUUCGGGCUACGCAUCCUUCUUGGAGGCGGUGUCGUGGUCCCUCUUCUUGCCACCUCCGGUCCUCUCCCGGGUGAAAACCCAAAAUCCGGCCUGGAUUGGGCAGCGGUGGCGCCAUGGGUGUCAUCCCCUCCUUGGAGGCGUUGCCUGGGGAGCUAGGAUUCGGGUGUGGGUUGCUGAAGGUGGGGGCUUUGGCCGUAGGCGGGUGUAGUGCUGAGGCGCUCUCCCGUUGCCUUGCUGUGCAGAGUGCCCCUUGUAUCUUUAGGGCGUUUCAUGUUGUUGGUGUUCGCGACGGAGGAGCGGCGUGGCAUCUGGCACGUCGACAACGGCGUGUCUCAGCGGCAUGGAGCCGUGGGGUCUCGCCGGUGGGCGUGUGAUGAUGGACGACCGCAGGAUGGUGGUGUUGUCUGGCGUCGUGGUGGCGUCGACGGCUGCUAGACCGGGCAAGGUAGAUGCAACAGUACAAUACUGAAGAUGGAUUGGUGGCAGGUGGCUGCGGCGGCCUCAUACCCGGCAGGCGUUCUGGUUGAGGAGUGCGCCGGACUGGUGGGUGCCCCAUUCCCGGCUGGCGUCCUGGAUGGGACAUCAGGUCUUAGAUGUUAGGUUUGGCUGCGAGGUCUGUUUGGUAUUAGGCCCAGACUAUCGGCAUCCUUUCAUCAGUGGAUAGGAGUAGCGACAGAUGUUGCCUAGACGGUGGCUUUAGUGUGACUGUUGUAUGACUUUGUAAGGUCUUACAGAUGCAUCGUCUAGAUGUAGAGGCCGGGGGUCCUCCUUCUUUUCUAAAAAUAAUAAUAUGAAAUACUAGUCACCUCACUUCCCUCAUCAUCAUGUUAAUCUUUGGUUUGGGACGUUUAAAGCCAUGGACGUAUGCACGGGGAUAAAUGUUGUAUAUCCAUCUUAUGAUGAGAAGAAGAAAAAGUUAAGAAGAGGAUGAAUCAGAAGAAAAAAUCAUCUGAAGGAGCAAGUAGGGAAACCAUCUUUGCUCGUAGGAGCCAUCUACAAAAUACAACAAUACAUCUUCGUCCUUGUCCAGCUUCCCAGCCAGGAUCGUCAUAUGAUGUUUGUCCAUCCAUUGAUCCCCGUCGUCGUUAGUCUCUUAUCUUAGUUAAAGAAGCAGGGCGAGGCCUGGUUCGGUUUUCAUGCCUGCCUGGUCCUCGAGACCUGAAAGUCAAGUUCAGAUCUGUUACAUUUUUUUUUCUAGUAGUAGAAAAAUUGAAGGAAAAAGAAUUGGGGCGAGAGAGGCUCGAACUCUCGACCUCAGGAUCACUCGCAUAAUUUAGCUAUGAGACCUACGCGCUAGCCAACUGCGCCACCGCCCCGUUAUGCUUCCUUUCAAAUCAAAAUUUUAAUUAAGUAGAGCUUGCGCUAAUGGGUUUUAUCAUAUCGAAUUAAUCCGACGGCCAGUAGCAAUCGCAUGCCAAGCAGCUCGAGGCCGGUAGCUUACACGAAAAACUUGUGAUCCACUUUGAUUAUUAAUUAAAAAAGAGGACAUUAUAUGUUUCCUAAAAAUAAAAUCAUAUGGUCAUGUUUAAUGCUUUUUCUCGGCGAAUGUCACUCAGUUAGCUGUAUUGCUUAUACAAAAGCAUCACAUCGUUUACAAAACAAAUGAUGUAUCUCAUUUGAGGGGUCAUCGCCCUAGUUACAUGAAAUAUUGUUGUGAACAUGGACGUAAUUUCUAUUACUUGUGGUGUUCUUUGUACUGCAUUUAGAGUUGAUGAAUAGCUCACAAGUUUUUUCUGGCAAAAGAAUAACGUCUUAGCUAGCUCGCGAACAACAUGGUUGGCAUCUCUUUGGUAGUUUUCAUAAGAUAUCUCUACAAACUCCAUCGAUAAAAUUCUGCAGUUGUGAACAAUUGCUGCUAAGGACAUAGCCCCUCCCAUCUGCAUGGGUGGUGUUUCGCGUCGGAGGAGCGGCGUGGCACCUGGCACGUCGAUAACGGCGGGUCUCAGCAGCAUGGAGCAGUGGGGUCUCGCCGGUGGGCGUGUGAUGAUGGACGAGCGCAUGAUGGUGGCGUUGUCUGGCGUCGUGGUGGCGUCGACGGAAGCUAGACCGGCAAGGUAGAUGCAGCAGUACAACACUGAAGAUGGAUUGGUGGCAGGUGGCUGCGGCGGCCUCAUACCCGGCAGGCGUCCUGGUUGAGGAGUGCGCCGGACUGGUGGCACUACUAGGGAAAACCUUAUACACAGAAUCUUAGCAGCAGCGCGGCAUAAAAAGAGGCGCUACUGCUAAUUAGCAGUAGCGAUGUUAGGAAAAGCGCGCUGCUGAUGAAAAUUUAGCAGUAGCGCGUGAUGGAUAAACCGCGCUGCUACAAAAAUGUACCGAAAGUACCCAACAACCUAAGUUUACCAGCAGCACGGUGGCAUGAUGCGCGCUACUGCUAAAGCAAUAGUAGCAGCGCGCUUUUUAGUCACGUCGCUGCUGCUAAUUUCGAAAUUGUCCACACGGUUGGCCCGUUUAGCAGUAGCGCGUGUGAGAAAAGCGCGCUACUGCUACACCCUUAGCAGUAGCGCGCUUUUCCACCCGCGCUACUGCUAAGGCGCAGUACCCCACACCUUUCCCCACCCGCCCUCCCCUCCCCCAUCUCCUCUCCUCCCUUUCCCCUACCUCCCACAUCCUCCCUCUCUCACUCUUCUUCUUCCUCAAGACUUCUCCCCCCCAUUACUCUCCCUCUUCUACCUACCUUUCUCUCUCUUCANNNNNNNNNNNNNNNNNNNNNNNNNNNNNNNNNNNNNNNNNNNNNNNNNNNNNNNNNNNNNNNNNNNNNNNNNNNNNNNNNNNNNNNNNNNNNNNNNNNNNNNNNNNNNNNNNNNNNNNNNNNNNNNNNNNNNNNNNNNNNNNNNNNNNNNNNNNNNNNNNNNNNNNNNNNNNNNNNNNNNNNNNNNNNNNNNNNNNNNNNNNNNNNNNNNNNNNNNNNNNNNNNNNNNNNNNNNNNNNNNNNNNNNNNNNNNNNNNNNNNAUUAAUGCAUCUCCUUUAUCUUUUUCCUUCCCCCUCCACUAGUUGAAGUUGUCUCCUCCCAAAUUAGCUAGCUAGGUAGAUGUAGCAUUUAGUCAAGUGACCUAUUUUCCCCCUAAUUAGAUCUAUCUUUGUCAAGAAGAGCUUUGUGCACUUUUGAUCUCCCUACAUCAUCAUCUCCAUCGUGUGCUCGAUCUCGAGAUAGAGGUAAUUAAAAUUUCAUGCUUUUGCAAAUGGAAAUAUGUGUAUGUGUGUGUGAUAUGAUAAUUGGGCAAUAUGAUGGAAAUUGUGUGUGUGGCAUGAGUUGACGCCUUGUGCUUUUGAGUUGCCUAUGUUUUGCCGAAAUGACGAUUUAUUUCUGUUUCGGCGAAUUCCAGGCAAACUCUAGAUCUAUAUGUGUCCUAUUUUUAGGGAAGGUCAUGCCGAAUUUUUGUAUGACUUUGAUACAUGCACGCAUUUUUAUAAUCAAUUUGUUUAUUAUUACCGUGCAGACGUUCAUGAUGGUCAGUGGAACGAUGGUGGACAGGUGGUUGCGGUCGGCGGUGCAGGACAUGAAAGAAAAUAACCUGACAGAGGUUUUAUGUCCGUGUCGAAAAUGCAAAGGAAUAGUUUGGCUCGACCCCUAUGACGAUGUCGUGUCGAAGCGCACCUGCUCAUGACUGGUUUCAUGGAUGGCUAUACUCGGUGGAUAAUCGAAGAUGAGGAUGACGAUGUUGAGGACGCCGACGGGGCAGGCAAUGAUGACACGGGGCAAGACGAAGAGAUGAUCGAUAAUGGCGGCGGGGAAGAGGCCGGACAUGGCGGCGGAGAAGGGGCCGGACAUGGCGGAGGAGAAGGGGCCAGACAUGGCGGCGGAGAGAAUGACGUGGACUCCACGCAGCAGAAUUCGUCGGUACUAAGUUCAAUCGUGCGGGACCCUCAUGUUCAAGCACUGCUUCGCAAGGAGACGAGUACUGAGAGAGCUGCUUCUAGAGAGGAGGCUAAGCUGGAGCAACUGGUGGUAAACUCAAACACUCCAUUGUAUGAUGGUUGCAAUCCUGAGGUGACCCGCUUGAGUUUCACGCUCCAACUCCUGAAGACGAAGGCUAAAAACAAAUGAACCGACACUAGCCUGGAUGAGCAUAUCAAGUGCCUAAAGGAUGUUCUUCCCGCGGGGAAUCUAUGUCCUACUAGUAUUGAUGAGGCCAAGAAGAUCGUGUGCCCUCUUGAUCUACCGCACGUUAGAUACCAUGCAUGCAUCAAUGAUUGCAUAAUUUAUCGGAAGGAGCACGCGGAAAAAACAAGCUAUCCAGUGUGCAAUGCUUCUCGAUACAAGAAGGCCGGGAAGAAAUGUCCCCAGAAAGUUGUAUGGUACUUACCGAUCACUCCCCGUCUCCAGCGGUAUUUUGUAGAUCCCAAGGAAGCAAAGCUAAUGCGCUGGCACGCGGAGAGGAAGAAGCCCGAGGAUGGAGAUGAUCCGAAGCUGAGACACAUCAAGGAUGGAAGCCAGUGGAGAGCGUUGAACAACUUCUAUCGGUAUUUCGAAUGUGAUGCAAGGAACAUCGUGCUUCCGUUUGGCAUCCAGAACACCAACCAUAGCACAUGGCCCGUGUUUGUAUGGAUGUACAACCUCCCCCCUGGUUGUGCAUGAAGUCGAAGUACAUUCACAUGAGCAUGCUUAUUCAAGGGCCGAAACAACCAGGAAAUAAUAUUAAUUUGUAUCUGGGGCUACUUCAAGAGGAGUUAGACACGUUAUGGAAAACACCGGCCAAGACAUGAGACGCCAGCAAAGGCGAGUAUUUCUACAUGAGAGCUGCGCUGAUCACGACGGUGCACGACUGUCUCGGUUACGGAUAUGUCGCAGGCCAGGUGUGCCAUGGAUAUUGCGGAUACACGCGGUGCAUGGAUGAUACGACGUCUCAGCAGCUAACGUCAAGGAAAGAUGGCGGGUCUGGAAAAAUCGUGUACAUGGGGCAUCGAAGAUGGCUCGAAUAGGACGACCCGUGGAGAAACCGUGGAGAACUACUCAAUGGUCACGCUGAGCAUCGAGGACCUCCACCUAAGCGGAGCGGUGCCAAAAUCGAUGAGCUGUUGAAAAACUGGAAGGAGUGCCCCGCGCCGGGAAAGACGAUGAAAAAGGCGCCGGAGCCGCUGCUGAAGGUAUGGAAGACGAGGUCUAUGUUCUGGGACUUGGAGUACUGGCACAAACUCGAUACACCUCAUUGCCUUGAUCAAAUGCAUAUAUGUAAGAAUGUCCUUGAGAGCUUGCUCGCGACACUAAUGAACAUGCCGGAUAAGACCAAGGAUGGGCCGAAGGCAAGAAAAGACUUGCAAGAUUUGAAAAUCAGGGAAGAUCUGCACAUGCCGCCCCGUAAAAUGUCAGACGAGACAGAGACGGAGACAGAGGCACGGGAGAAGAAGGGCAAGAAAAUAAAGAAAGAGGAUUAUUGCCCCCCUUCUUGCUUCACCUUAAGUCAGGCUGAGAUCGGUCAAUUCUUUAAGUGCCUUACCGGAGUCAAAGUUAGUUCCGGUUACUAUGGCAAGAUAAGCAGAUAUCUAGACACGGACAAGAAAAGGUUCAGCGGGAUGAAGUCCCAUGACUGUCAUGUGAUGAUGACGCAGAUACUACCUGUUGCCCUUAGAGGGAUAAUGGACAAGCACGUCCGUGACACGCUUAUUGGUCUCUGCAACUUUUUCAACGUCAUCUCUCGAAAAUCGAUCAGUCUGAAGCAGCUCCAAAGGCUACAGGAAGAGAUUGUUGUGAUACUGAAUGAGCUUGAGAUGUACUUCCCGCCCGCGUUCUUUGACGUGAUGGUGCAUCUGUGUGUCCAUAUUGUGGACGACAUAAUAGACUUGGGGCCGUCAUUUCUGCACAACAUGAUGCCGUUUGAGAGGAUGAAUGGGAUCAUCAAAGGAUUCGUUCGUAACAUGUCCUGUCCGGAUGGAAGCAUCGUCCAGGGCUAUCUGAUACAAGAGUGCAUCUCUUUCUGCGAGAAUUUUCUAUAUGGCGCAGACCUGCAGCCGCCUGGUGUUAGUGUUGGUUUGCCCGUUAACAAGAACGAUGGGAGGCUCGAAGGAGAAGGUCACUCCAACGGUCGCAGGGAACUGCACGUGUGCUACCUCUUGAGCACUGUGUUGGUUUUCCCUUGAAGAGGAAAGGGUGAUGCAGUAAAGCAGCGUAAGUAUUUCCCUCAGUUUUUGAGAACCAAGGUAUCAAUCCAGUAGGAGGCCACGCGCGAGUCCCUCGCACCUACACAAACAAACAAGAACCUCGCAACCAACGCGAUAAAGGGGUUGUUAAUCCCUUCACGGUCACUUACGAGAGUGAGAUCUGAUAGAGAUGAUAAGAUAAUAUUUUUUGGUAUUUUUAUGAUAAAGAGUAAAAGUAAAUAAUGGAAAGAUGAACGGAAAUAGAAAUAGCUUGUUGACGGAAGAUUAAUAUGAUGGAAAAUAGACCCGGGGGCCAUAGGUUUCACUAGUGGCUUCUCUCGAGAGCAUAAGUAUUGCGAUGGGUAAACAAAUUACUGUCGAGCAAUUGAUAGAAUUGAGCAUAGUUAUGAGAAUAUCUAGGUAUGAUCAUGUAUAUAGGCAUCACGUCCGCGACAAGUAGACCGACUCCUGCCUGCAUCUACUACUAUUACUCCACACAUCGACCGCUAUCCAGCAUGCAUCUAGAGUAUUAAGUUCAUGAAGAACAGAGUAACGCAUUAAGAAAGAUGACAUGAUGUAGAGGGAUAAACUCAUGCAAUAUGAUAUAAACCCCAUCUUUUUAUCCUCGAUGGCAACAAUACAAUACGUGCCUUGCUGCCCCUACUGUCACUGGGAAAGGACACCGCAAGAUUGAACCCAAAGCUAAGCACUUCUCCCAUUGCAAGAAAGAUCAAUCUAGUAGGCCAAACCAAACUGAUAAUUCGAAGAGACUUGCAAAGAUAACCAAUCAUACAUAAAAGAAUUAAGAGGAGAUUCAAAUAUUGUUCAUCGAUAAUCUUGAUCAUAAACCCACAAUUCAUCGGAUCUCGACAAACACACCGCAAAAGAAGAUUACAUCGAAUAGAUCUCCACAAGAGAGGGGGAGAACAUUGUAUUGAGAUCCAAAAAGAGAGAAGAAGCCAUCUAGCUAAUAACUAUGGACCCGAAGGUCUGAGGUAAACUACUCACACUUCAUCGGAGAGGCCUUGGAUAUGAUGUAUAGGCCCUCCGUGAUCGAUGCCCCCUCCGGCGGAGCUCCGGAAAAGGCCCCAAGAUGGGAUCUCAUGGGUACAGAAAGUUGCGGCGGUGGAAAUAGGGUUUUGGCUCCGUCUCUGGUAGUUUGGGAGUACGUAGGUAUAUGUAGGAGGAAGAAGUACGUCGGUGGAGCAACGUGGGGCCCACGAGGGUGGAGGGCGCACCCAGGGGUAGGCGCGCCCCCUACCUCGUGCCCUCCUGGUUGAUGUCUUGACGUAGGGUCCAAGUCCUCUGGAUCACGUUCGUUCCGAAAAUCACGUUCCCGAAGGUUUCAUUCCGUUUGGACUCCGUUUAAUAUUCUUUUUCUGCGAAACUCUAAAAUAGGCAAAAAAAACAGCAAUUCUGGGCUGGGCCUCCGGUUAAUAGGUUAGUCCCAAAAAUAAUAUAGAAGUGUAUAAUAAAGCCCAAUAAUUUCCAAAACAGAAUAUAAUAUAGCAUGGAACAAUCAAAAAUUAUAGAUACAUUGGAGACGUAUCAAGCAUCCCCAAGCUUAAUUCCUGCUCGUCCUCGAGUAGGUAAAUGAUAAAAACAGAAUUUUUAAUGUCGAAUGGUCCUUAGCAUAAUUUCAAUGUAAUUCUUCUUAUUGUGGCACGAAUGUUCAGAUUUAAUAUGAUUCAAGAUAAAAGUUUAAUGUUGACAUAACAACAAUAAUACUUCAAGCAUGCUAACCAAGCAAUUAUGUCUUAUCAAAAUAACAUAGCCAAAGCAAGUUAUCCCUACAAAAUCAUAUAGUCUGACUAUGCUCCAUCUUCCCCACACAAAAUAUUCAUAUCAUGUACAACCCCGGUUUUAGCCAAGCAAUUGGUUCAUACCUUUUAACGCGCUUCAGCCUUUUCAACUCUUACGCAAUACAUGAGCGCAAGCCAUGGAUAUAGCACUAUGGUGGAGUAAGGUAUAAUGGUAAGGGUUAUGUGGGAAGACAAAAAAGGAGAAAGUCUCACAUCAACGAGGCUAAUCAACGGGCUAUGGAGAUGCCCAUCAAUUGAUGUUAAUGCAAGGAGUAGGGAUUGCCAUGCAACGGAUGCACUAGAGCUAUAAGUGUAUGAAAGAUCAAACAAAAGAAACUAAGUGGGUGUGCAUCCAACUUGCUUGCUCACGAAGACCUCGGGCAUUUCGAGGAAGCCCAUCAUUGGAAUAUACAAGCCAAGUUCUAUAAUGAAAUUUCCCACUAGUAUAUGAAAGCAACAAAAUGAGAGACUCUCUAUCAUGAAGAUCACGGUGCUACUUUGAAGAACAAGUGUGGUAAAAGGAUAGUAACAUUGUCCCUUCUCUCUUUUUCUCUCAUUUUUUUUAUUUGGGCCUUUUCUCUUUUUUUAUGGCCUCUUUUUUUUAGUCCGGAGUCUCAUCCCGACUUGUGGGGGAAUCAUAGUCUCCAUCAUCCUUUUCUCACUUGGGAAAAUGCUCUAAUAAUGAUGAUCAUCACACUUUUAUUUACUUACAACUCAUGAAUUACAACUCAAUACUUAGAACAAAAUAUGACUCUAUGUGGAUGCCUCCGGCGGUGUACCGGGAUAAUGAAUCAAGAGCGACAUGUAUGAAAGAAUUAUGAAUGGUGGCUUUGCCACAAAUACAAUGUCAACUACAUGAUCAUGCAAAGCAAUAUGACAAUGAUGGAGCGUGUCAUGAUAAACGAAACGAUGGAAAGUUACAUGGCAAUAUAUCUCGGAAUGGCUAUGGAAAUGCCAUAAUAGGUAGGUAUGGUGGCUGUUUUGAGGAUGAUAUAAGGAGGUUCAUGUGUGAUAGAGCGUAUCAUAUCACGGGGUUUGGAUGCACCGGCGAAGUUUGCACCAACUCUCAAAGUGAGAAAGGGCAAUGCACGGUACCGAAGAGGCUAGAAAAUUGCGGAAAGGUAAGUGUGCGUAUAAUCCAUGGACUCACAUUAGUCAUAAAGAACUCAUAUACUUAUUGCAAAACUUUAUUAGCCCUCGAAGCAAAGUACUACUACGCAUGCUCCUAGGGGAAGGGUUGGUAGGAGUUAACCAUCGCGGGAUCCCGACCGCUACAAAAAGGAUGACAAUCAACAAAUACCUCAUGCUCCGACUUCGUUACAUAACGGUUCACCAUCCGUGCAUGCUACGGGAAUCACAAACUCCAACACAAGUAUUUUUCAAUUCCACAAUUACUCAACUAGCACAACUAUGAUAUUACCACCUUUAUAUCUCAAAACAAUUAUCUAGUAUCAAAUUUUCUCAUGAUAUUAUAAUUAAAGAAAAUUGCCAUGCUAUUUCAAGACUCUCAAAAAUAAUAUAAGUGAAGCAUGAGAGAUCAAUAGUUUCUAUAAAACAAGUCUACCGCCGUGCUCUAAAAGAUAUAAGUGAAGUACUAGAGCAAAAACUAUAUAGCUCAAUAAAUAUAAGUGAAGCACAUAGAGUAUUCUAACAAUUUCCAAUUCAUGUGUGUCUCUCUCAAAAGGUGUGUACAGCAAGGAUGAAUGUGGUAAACUAAAAAGCAAAGACUCAAAUCAUACAAGACGCUCCAAGCAAAACACAUAUCAUGUGGCGAAUAAAAAUAUAGCUCCAAGUAAAGUUACCGAUAGACAAAGGCGAAAGAGGGGAUGCCUUCCGGGGCAUCCCCAAGCUUUGGCUUUUAGGUGUCCUUAGAUUAUCUUGGGAUGCCAUGGGCAUCCCCAAGCUUAGGCUCUUGCCACUCCUUGUUCCAUAAUCCAUCAAAUCUUUUACCCAAAACUUGAAAACUUCACAACACAAAACUUAGCAGAAAAUCUCGUGAGCUCCGUUAGCGAAAGAAAACAAAACACUACUUCAAGGUACUGUAAUGAACUCAUUAUUUAUUUAUAUUGGUGUUAAACCUACUGUAUUCCAACUUCUCUAUGGUUUAUAAACUAUUUUACUAGCCAUAGAUUCAUCAAAAUAAGCAAACAACACACGAAAAACAGAAUCUGUCAAAAACAGAACAGUCUGUAGUAAUCUGUAACUAACGCAAACUUCUGGAACGUGAAAAAUUCCUCCAAAUUAGGAAGUUUUAGAUAAUUUGUUUAUUGAUCUACAGCAAAAAGAAUCAACUGAAAAGAACGUUCCUGUGAUUUAUGAAAACUAAUCUCGUGCGCGCAAAGUUUCUGUUUUCUGCAGCAGAAUCAAAUAACUAUUACCGUAGGUUAUCCUAACGGUUUUACUUGGCACAAACACUAAUUAAAACGAAUCUAACCAGAGGCUAGACAUAUUAUUUAUUCCUAAACAUAAGCAAAAAGCAAAAAACUAAAAUAAAAUUGGGUUGCCUCCCAACAAGCGCUAUCGUUUAACGCCCCUAGCUAGGCAUAAAAGCAAGGAUAGAUCUAAGUAUUGCCAUCUUUGGUAGGCAAACCAUAAGUGGAUCUCAUGAUAGAUUCAUAUGGUAAUUUUAUUUUCUUUCUAGGGAAGUGUUCCAUACCUUUCCUUAGCGCAAAUUGGAAUCUAAUAUUUCCUUCCUUCAUAUCAAUAAUUGCACCAAUCGUUCUAAGAAAAGGUCUACCAAGAAUAAUAGGACAUGAAGGAUUGCAAUCUAUAUCAAGAACGAUAAAAUCUACGGGCACAUAAUUCCUAUUUUCAACAAUAAGAACAUCAUUAAUUCUUCCCAUAGGUUUUUUGAUAGUGGAAUCCGCAAGGUGCAAAUUUAAAGAGCAAUCAUCAAGUUCAUGGAAACCUAGCAAAUCACACAAAGUUUUCGAAAUCGUGGAAACACUAGCACCCAAAUUACACAAAGCAUAACACUCAUGAUCUUUGAUUUUAAUUUUAAUAGUAGGUUCCCACUCAUCAUAAAGUUUUCUAGAGAUAGAAACUUCCAAAUCAAGUUUUUCUUCGUAAGAUUGCAUCAAAGCAUCAACGAUAUGUUUAGUAAAAGCCUUAUUUUGACUAUAAGCAUGCGGAGAAUUUAACACGGAUUGCAACAAGGAAAUACAAUAUAUUAAAGAGCAAUUAUCAUAAUUAAAUUCCUUGAAAUCCAAAAUAGUGGGUUCAUUGAGAUCUAAAGUUCUAACUUCUUCAAUCCCACUUCUACCAAAUUUUGCAUCAAGAUCUAAAAACUCCAAAAUUUUGGAACGCCUUCUAGGUAAAGGUGACUCAUCUUCAGUCCCAUCAUUAUCAAGAUUCAUAUUGCAAAACAAAGAUUUAAUAGGGGACACAUCAAUAACUUUCAGAUCUUCAUCUUUAUUCUCAUAGAAAUUAGAAGAACACGCUUUCAUAAAGCAAUCUUUCUUAGCACGCAUUCUAGCGGUUCUUUCUUUGCACUCAUCAAUGGAAAUUCUCAUGGCUUUGAGAGACUCAUUGAUAUCAUGCUUGGGUGGAAUAGAUCUAAGCUCCAAAGAAUCAACAUCAAGAGAAAUUCUAUCAACGUUCCUAGCCAAUUCAUCAACUUUAAGCAAUUUUUCCUCAAGCAAAGCAUUGAAAUUAUUUUGCGAAUUUGUAAACUCCUUAACACUAUUCUCAAAUUCAGAGGGCAUCUUAUUAAAAUUUCCAUAAGAAUUGUUGUAGGAAUUACCAUAAUUAUUAGAGGAAUUACUAGGGAACGGCCUAGGAUUAAAGUUUCCUCUAUACGCGUUGUUACCAAAAUUAUUCCUACCAACAAAAUUCACAUCCAUAGAUUCAUUAUUAUUCUCAAUCAAAGUAGACAAAGGCAUAUCAUUAGGAUCCAAAGAAACACUUUUAGUAGCAAAUAAUUUCAUAAGUUCAUCCAUCUUUCCACUCAAAACAUUAAUUUCUUCUAUCGCAUGCACUUUUUUAUUAGUAGAUCUUUCGGUGUGCCAUUGAGAAUAAUUAACCAUAAUAUUAUCUAGGAGUUUAGUAGCUUCUCCUAAAGUGAUUUCCAUGAAAGUGCCUCCCGCGGCCGAAUCUAAAAGAUUUCUAGAAGCGAAAUUCAAUCCGGCAUAAAAUUUUUGUAUAAUCAUCCACAAAUUUAAAUCAUGAGUAGGGCAAUUACGUAUCAUUAAUUUCAUCCUCUCCCAAGCUUGUGCAACAUGUUCAUGAUCAAGUUGCUUAAAGUUCAUAAUAUCGUUUCUAAGAGAGAUGAUUUUGGCGGGAGGAAAAUACUUAGAGAUAAAAGCAUCUUUGCACUUAUUCCAAGAAUCAAUACUAUUUUUAGGCAAAGACGAAAACCACACUUUAGCACGAUCUCUAAGCGAAAAAGGUAAUAGUUUCAGUUUAACAAUAUCAUUAUCAACAUCCCUCUUCUUUUGCAUGUCACACAAAUCAACAAAGCUAUUUAGAUGGGUAGCGGCAUCUUCACUAGGAAGGCCGGCAAAUUGAUCUUUCAUAACAAGAUUCAACAAAACAUCAUUAAUCUCACAAGAUUCAGCAUCAUUAAGAGGGGCAAUCGGAGUGCUAAGAAAAUCAUUAUUGUUGGUAUUGGUAAAGUCACACAAUUUGGUAUUAUCUUGAGCCAUCGUGACAAGCAAGCAAUCCAACAAGCAAGCAAACAAGAAAAGAGCGAAAGGAGGCGAACGGAAAAGAGAGGGCGAAUAAAACGGCAAGGUUGAAGUGGGGGAGAGGAAAACGAGAGGCAAAUGGCAAAUAAUGUAAUGCGAGGGAGAUGAGUUUGUGAUGGGUACUUGGUAUUGCUUGACUUGUGCGUAGACUCCCCGGCAACGGCGCCAAAAAUCCUUCUUGCUACCUCUUGAGGACCGCGUUGGUUUUCCCUUGAAGAGGAAAGGGUGAUGCAGUAAAGCAGCGUGAGUAUUUCCCUCAGUUUUUGAGAACCAAGGUAUCAAUCCAGUAGGAGGCCACGCGCGAGCCCCUCGCACCUACACAAACAAACAAGAACCUCGCAACCAACGUGAUAAAGGGGUUGUUAAUCCCUUCGCGGUCACUUACGAGAGUGAGAUCUGAUAGAGAUGAUAAGAUAAUAUUUUUGGUGUUUUUAUGAUAAAGAGUAAAAGUAAAUAAUGCAAAGAUAAACGGAAAUAGAAAUAGCUUGUUGACGGAAGAUUAAUAUGAUGGAAAAUAGACCCGGGGGCCAUAGGUUUCACUAGUGGCUUCUCUCGAGAGCAUAAGUAUUGCGAUGGGUAAACAAAUUACUGUCGAGCAAUUGAUAGAAUUGAGCAUAGUUAUGAGAAUAUCUAGGUAUGAUCAUGUAUAUAGGCAUCACGCCCGCGACAAGUAGACCGACUCCUGCCUGCAUCUACUACUAUUACUCCACACAUCGACCGCUAUCCAGCAUGCAUCUAGAGUAUUAAGUUCAUGAAGAACAGAGUAACGCAUUAAGAAAGAUGACAUGAUGUAGAGGGAUAAACUCAUGCAAUAUGAUAUAAACCCCAUCUUUUUAUCCUCGAUGGCAACAAUACAAUACGUGCCUUGCUGCCCCUACUAUCACUGGGAAAGGACACCACAAGGUUGAACCCAAAGCUAAGCACUUCUCCCAUUGCAAGAAAGAUCAAUCUAGUAGGCCAAACCAAACUGAUAAUUCGAAGAGACUUGCAAAGAUAACCAAUCAUACAUAAAAGAAUUAAGAGGAGAUUCAAAUAUUGUUCAUAGAUAAUCUUGAUCAUAAACCCACAAUUCAUCGGAUCUCGACAAACACACCGCAAAAGAAGAUUACAUCGAAUAGAUCUCCACAAGAGAGGGGGAGAACAUUGUAUUGAGAUCCAAAAAGAGAGAAGAAGCCAUCUAGCUAAUAACUAUGGACCUGAAGGUCUGAGGUAAACUACUCACACUUCAUCGGAGAGGCCUUGGAGAUGAUGUAGAGGCCCUCCGUGAUCGAUGCCCCCUCCGGCGGAGCUCCAGAAAAGGCCCCAAGAUGGGAUCUCAUGGGUACAGAAAGUUGCGGCGGUGGAAAUAGGGUUUUGGCUCCAUCUCUGGUAGUUUGGGAGUACGUAGGUAUAUGUAGGAGGAAGAAGUACGUCGGUGGAGCAACGUGGGGCCCACGAGGGUGGAGGGCGCGCCCAGGGGGUAGGCGCACCCCCCUACCUCGUGCCCUCCUGGUUGAUGUCUUGACAUAGGGUCCAAGUCCUCGGGAUCACGUUCGUUCCGAAAAUCACGUUCCCGAAGGUUUCAUUCCGUAUGGACUCCGUUUGAUAUUCUUUUUCUGCGAAACUCUGAAAUAGGCAAAAAAAAACAAUUCUGGGCUGGGCCUCCGGUUAAUAGGUUAGUCCCAAAAAUAAUAUAAAAGUGUAUAAUAAAGCCCAAUAAUGUCCAAAACAGAAUAUAAUAUAGCAUGGAACAAUCAAAAAUUAUAGAUACGUUGAAGACGUAUCAACGUGGCAUACUCAGAUCGACGCAACGACUUUGACAGAGCAAAAUUGGUAGUGCUACAACACCUAGACGAGGUAGAUCCUUUCGUGGCACUGCACAAAGAAAUUAUCGCAAAGAAGUAUCGUGACCGGGGGUAUGCAGGACGGACGCGAAGUUACUAGAGAGCACAACUCCACUUUCCUGCAUUAGUUCAAAGAGCAUAUUAUUGCUAAUCCCCCGGAGGAGGGCUCUAAGGACGGAUUGCUCAUAUACACCUUAGCACAUGGCCCCUCGCCCAACCUCGUAACCUAUCAGGCAUAUGAUAUCAACGGAUACACGUUCUACACGGAGGCCAAAGAUAUGGACAGUGAUGAUCAGAACUCAGGGGUGACGAUGGAAUGCAUGACCGGCAGCGACAACGGCGCAACUGAAAGAUUUUACGGAAGGGUCGAGGAGAUCUGGGAGCUUGACUACACUGGACUGCACAACACGACGAUGUUCCGUGUCAGAUGGGCUAAGAAUGUCGAAAGAGAAAACCGGAAUUUCACUACCAUGACUAUACCCGACGCCAAGAGCGCUACCGUGAACGCUAUCGCAAAAAACGAGCCAUGGGUACACGCUAAGCACGUGACACAAUGCUUCUUCAUAACCGACCCGUGCAAUCCCAGCCGUGUUGUCGUGAGGAGAGGCAAAAGGAACAUCAUUGAAAUGGAUGGAGUCGCCAACGAGGAAGACUACGAUCAGUACGGCAACCCAAUGAGGGAAGAUGACGAUGAUGAUGAAGUAUAUGUCAAAAGAAGAAUCAAUACUACAUUACCUAAGAAAAAUCGUACUCCAUGGAAAAGGCAAAGUCACAAUGAGGGGCUCAAUUAUUCUUCAACGAACAAGAAGGGAAAGAAGCCGACUCAAAAACGAAAAUGUCAACGCUGAGGAACCGUAUGUUAUCGGUCAAAUGAUGUAAUAUAUAUAUAUAUGUUCCUAUUUUGUAUACACACUUAGCCAUUAUUAUGCAUGGGUCCAAUGAUGUAAUAUAUAUGUUCCUAUUUUGUAUACAUAUUUAACCGUCAAAUGAUGCAAUAUAUAUCGCCUUCCCUUCGUUCACUGCUCUCGGGAAAAAAGAAAAGAAAAGUGAGAGAAAAUAAAGGAAAAGAAAAAGUGAAACUGGUUAUAGCAGUAGCGCUUUACUGAAAAAGAGCUACAACUAGUCAAGGUAGCAGUAACGGUUUCCGUAUAAAACCGCUAUAGCUGCCUGUAAUAGUAGUAGCGCAUUUGCUCUAAACGCGCUACUGCUACGUCCACUUAACCCAAAAUCCUCACUCUCUCGGCUUCAUCCCGCCUCUUUUCCUCCCAAAUCCCCACUCUCUCUUCCCCGUCGCACCGCCGGGGCCCUGCCCUCGCCACGCCCCGGCGCUCGCCCCCGACCCCGACCCCGGCCUCGGCUCCGACCCCGGUGCUCGCCCCCGACCCCGACGCGCCACGCCUCCCUCUGCUUCCUUCCCUCCCANNNNNNNNNNNNNNNNNNNNNNNNNNNNNNNNNNNNNNNNNNNNNNNNNNNNNNNNNNNNNNNNNNNNNNNNNNNNNNNNNNNNNNNNNNNNNNNNNNNNNNNNNNNNNNNNNNNNNNNNNNNNNNNNNNNNNNNNNNNNNNNNNNNNNNNNNNNNNNNNNNNNNNNNNNNNNNNNNNNNNNNNNNNNNNNNNNNNNNNNNNNNNNNNNNNNNNNNNNNNNNNNNNNNNNNNNNNNNNNNNNNNNNNNNNNNNNNNNNNNNNNNNNNNNNNNNNNNNNNNNNNNNNNNNNNNNNNNNNNNNNNGGUUAAUUUACUUAGGUUUUAGUUAGGGCAAUAGGUUAAUUAGGUUAUCUAUUUAGUUAUGAAUUUAGCUAGGUUUUAAAAUAGGACAGAAAUUUAGGGUUAAGCAAUUGUAGUUAAAAGAAAAGGCAGCAUUUAAGCAAUUGUCCAAAUCAACAUGCCUUGUUAAAGCAAAUUUAGGUAGGCUGAAUUUAUAUGCAAAUUUGAACUGGACAUGUGAUAUGUGGACAUGUCAUGUUUUGGACAUGUCAUGUUUGGAAUUUGGACAUGUCAUUUGGACAUGUGAUGUUUUGGACAUGUCAUAUUUGGAAAAUGAUGAUUAUGUGCAGGGUAAAUGAUCCGAGUGGCCUAUGUUACGCCGGAAUGUUGAUUCAUUUCCGUUCCGGUGAAUUUCAGGCGCUCGAUAUGUCCAUUUUUUUAGCAAAGGUCAUGCCGAAAUUUUCCGUGAAUUUUGGCAUGAUUUGUGCUAGAUAGUAGGCAUAUCGAGUGCUGGGAGUUGCUGGGAAACGAGAUUCCGGCAAACAUAGAUUUCCUUUUUAUGUCAUUUUUCAUUUUUUUUCAUACUUUUAGAAUUAAACGAGGAGACUUAAUCAUAGGAAACAUGUCGAACAACGAAGAAACUGGGCCUUCUGACCAAGAUGCAGACGAGAUGGAUUAUGAGGGUGAACAAGAGUACCUCGACUAUUUGACUGCUAAGAGAGGUUUGCAGGUCGGCCUCGAUGAUGGUACUGACGCCGACAUCGACACCGACGGCUCCGGCACCGUUGGCGCCGCCGACCGAUGGCGGCGCCGAGACCGGCGGGGAAGGUACCGGCGCCGAUGCUGCUACCGAAAAGAACAAGCCGAAGAAGUAGAGGAUACGAAAACCUAACAAACUAUGGAUUGGACGACUAGUGAUCACAAAGAUGGCACCUGGCAAGUUUGAGCCAUUAGAGCCGGAAGAACCUUGCAAGUGCUAUGGGAACCAAGUAGGAUGCAUCCUACGGGAAUGCGCGAGCAUCAACGACGAUGACUUAAGGAGUAAAGAACAUUUGACGCAGUUGCUCCUGACGAAGUUGCACAAGAGAUUCAAGUUCCCCGACCGGGAUGAUAACAUAGAACAACCGUGGGAUGAUCCGAAGAUGAAAAAUAUUAACAAUCACGCCAUGGGCAUGUUCAGCAAUGAUUUGGCCUCCUGGAAAGGGAGGGUGAAACGAGCUAUUGAGGCUGAGGAACCCCUGUCCAAGAUUCUGGAGGAAAAUCCGACACUUACGGAAGAGGAGUUCAAAAAGUUCAAGGACACUUGCGCUACCGAGGCAGCCAAGGCUAAGGCUGCGAAAUUCAAGAGCCUUCAGCAAAGGAACACGGGGAAGCAUCGCCUCGGAAGCCGUGGCUACCUCGGUAAAAGGCCCAUAUGGGAUAAGGAGGACGCGGAACGUGAAGCCGCGGGUAUCCCAGACCCCUUCACGAAGUUCACCAACCCCUUGGAGCGUGACUUCAUCACGUCCCGCUACAAGUGGGACAAGGAAAAGAAGGUUUUUUACACGGACCAGAUGACGAGGAAAUUGAUUAGACUACUGGUAAUUACUCUUUUACCACCUUACAUUUAGCUCCAUAUCUAGUCGACUACACAUUCCUAAACGGUUCACCCUCCUUCUGCAGGAGAAGCAACACCAGCUUGCAGCCGAAAGCUCUACUUCACCGAUGAGGCCCAAGUGGGACACCCCUCUCAACCAGGCCUUGAACGAACUUAAGGGACUCCCUUUGGGCCAGCGGCCGCAAUAUGGUCGUGUGCACGGCGCUGGAGACGGUGCCACGUGGAAGGUGUUUUACAACGAGGGCCCGGAGGCCAAGAAGCAGAAAAAGAAGUUUAGUCAGGCGGACAUCAACGCGAAGGUGAAGCUUGCGGUCGAGAAAAAAGCAGCUGAGGACGCGAAAAAACAGCCGAGGAGAAAAAUGAGUUGCUACAGCAGGCAGUCAAUGCAGCUGUAACUGCCUGCAGAAAUGAUUUUGCUACUAACUUGGUUCCAGCUAUCAUCAACUGGACGAAGGAAAAUCCAGACAAGACGGUACAUGAUUUCCCGUUGCCCGGUUUCGUCGGGAGCAACUCCAUGAACAACAACACCACCACACCACACUUGCUUACGCAACUGGGCCUCCUCUCGCAGCCGCUCCCGCUCAUAGCAGCCCGUCCUCAGUCUCUAGCGCGCUAGGUGGCCCUUCGUCUUUGGCUGAGCUCGACGCCGUCACGGUAAUUACAUGUCGCACUGACANNNNNNNNNNNNNNNNNNNNNNNNNNNNNNNNNNNNNNNNNNNNNNNNNNNNNNNNNNNNNNNNNNNNNNNNNNNNNNNNNNNNNNNNNNNNNNNNNNNNNNNNNNNNNNNNNNNNNNNNNNNNNNNNNNNNNNNNNNNNNNNNNNNNNNNNNNNNNNNNNNNNNNNNNNNNNNNNNNNNNNNNNNNNNNNNNNNNNNNNNNNNNNNNNNNNNNNNNNNNNNNNNNNNNNNNNNNNNNNNNNNNNNNNNNNNNNNNNNNAUUCCAUUUUCGUUGCCUUUCGGAUGUUUUACGCCACAGACAUCUGUGUUUGCAGGCCAAAGAAACCCCGUGCACCAUACUCUACUUGAUCAAAGGCCAGAAGGUGGACGUGGGAAAGGUUAUGAUAAUGAACCCCUUGCAACCCACGUUCCACAACCAGCCGAUCCCCGCUAGGCACUUCAGGUUUAGCUUGUCCAGUGUGAAAUCGGGGCACGAGGAUUUGCCUCCUCCAGUACAGCAUGUGGGAGAGGACGACGAGACCCCGCCGCGGAUUGGAAGCUGCAAGGGUUGGGUGCUGCUAUGGCCGAAGAAUCUUAUUCGUCUGGAGCCGGCCGAGAGCACACCAAUAACCACACAUCAACAAGCAGGUGCGGAGACCACCACCCCGCCUACGCAAUUGCCAGCUCCUGUAGUGCUGGGUGAGAGCAGCGGACGACGUGAUGAAGGGGGUGCAAUAGUACUGGCUGAUGUAAUCGGUCCUGUAGAACAGAGAAUGGAUGAUGAGACGGAGGUCGACCCUAUGGGUUUCCUCAAUACAAACGCAUAUGACUGUGACAUAGAUAUGAUGAGUCAACCAUAUGACGAAUCGGGCUAUCAGCAUGCUAAUGCGGAUAUGGAUGAUAUGCCCGGGCAGGAAGGUCGUAGCAGGGAUUGCAAAAAGUCUCUCUUCAUGAAAUCCUCACAUGACACACCUGAAGAUGCCGCCUCAACACAGGCUCAACUAGCCGGGCGCGAGGGUCGUACAGUACUUAGCCCGGGAACACUGGGGCAGGGGUUAAGGAAGGGUCUGGAAGGUGUGCCCAAGAAAAAGGAGAGGAAGAGAUCGGGGAAGAUAGCUGCCUCCAAACAAGCCAGAGCACAUAGCAGCCAGACGAUGGACUCUGAAGAGCGUGUACCCGUGAAAGGUGCGGCCAUGUUCCAUCUCACGGGCGAGCCGAUGCUACCGCCGAAACCGCUGUAGGCACUAUCAGGGGAUCUCAGGAGACUGCACGACCAUGUGCUGUCGACUAAGAAAAGCCUACUAGCCUCAAAGGACCCAGGAUAUCCGACAUACGCGGCUCGUGUGCCUGAGGGGAAGUGCUACGUCAACACACGGCCCGCGGAGGUGUUCUUCCUGCGGUUUGACCAUAUCUUUGAGAUGUUUCUGACAAGGCGGCUCGAUUUUACAAUCAUCCGCCUUUUUGCGCUACAUACGAGCUCCGUCAUGAAGAGAGAAGAAGUCUCGCAAAUCUGUGUGGCGGAUCCGUACUACAUGCACGUGUCUUUCUUGAGUCUCGGCGACUUUGAGCGUGAAACUACUAGGGACUACCUCCAAACUUCAUGGUACAUAAUAAGGACCAGGAAAUUGUCCUCCUGCCUUAUCAUCCAAAGUAAGUCAGUUCCGGACAACCCUUUCGUACAUUUCAAUCAUUCCUUCUCGCUCAUAUGGAGAAUAAUUUGAGGUGUCUUUUCCCCGCAGCAACGGGCGCGCCGUCCUUAUCGUUCUUUACCCGCGAGUCUCCCACGCCGUGUAUUUCGAUCCUUCCAGAGACUACGAGAAAAAGGACUACACCCACAUAAUGAAUAUUCUAGAUGAUGCUAUCCAAGGCUUCAGCAUUAGAGGUGGCCACAUGCAGAUCAAGAAACAAAGGAACAAGAAGAUGGGUUUCGCGCAUAAAACUAACUUCUCCUGCAUCCAUGUCCCAAAACCAAGCAAGAAGGAUGGAUUCUACAUCGUCCAUCUCAUGAUUGAGUUCAGCACAGAUCACCAAAAGCUUCGCAUGACAAGCAGAAAUGAUGAUCAUAUCCACAAGUGGCUAGAAUCUCAUGGAGAAGCGGAUUAUAAACUUAGAGAUGACUUCUUUCGCAUCCAAAGGGACAUUGCGACGAUCAUCAUGAAAGAAGUCGUCGAUGAGAAGGGGAUCUUCCACCAUGGCCCUAUAUCGCGAGCUGACGUCCGAACUCGCAUAGGCAUGCAACGUCUAGACCUCACGCCAUUCAAGAAGCUAGGGUCCAUCCUCGAUGAUACGGAAGGAUGGAACUUCUAGUGAUUUACGAUGCCGAUGAUGAUGAUAUGUGUCAGUUGAACUUGUAUACUUUCUGUAGCGAUGAAACUUUGUGAUGUCCACGGUCCCUGCCGAACUUGCGUAACACUACUUUGUUAGUUUGCGUACGAUGACCUGCGUACCUCUAGUUAAUUAGUUUGCGUACGGUAUGUUGCAUCUAGUUGCUAACCCUUUCUUUUUCGUGUUGCUCUAGUAUAUUUUGUUGCAUAUGAUUGUACAUCCUCUUGAUGAAGAUGCAUCUCUAACAGGUACCUAGUUUCUUGAUGGCGAAGUGCUAUGUGGUGUACGAAGGGAAGGUUCCGGGAGUGUAUGACGAGUGGCAUGAGUGUCAGGCGCAAGUGCAGGGGGUCUCGGGCGCCAGCCAUAAAGGCUUCAAAAGCAGACAAGAAGCACAAGCUAGUUACUUGAGGUUCAGGCGAGCGCGAGAGAGGACUCAUGACCGCCGCCUCAUGUACUGCAUAGUUCCACUAUCACUCAUAGUGAUAGCACUUCUCGCGUAUAUCAUUGUUUAGAUGGAUGACGUUGUAGUUACAAGUAUUCGAGACUUGCAUGUAUCGUUAUUUUUGAGAUGAUGAUGAGAUACCACUUUGUGUAGGAUGAUGAUUAUGAUGAGACUAUUUGUAUGUAUAUUCUAUGAUUACAUUUGUGAUCUCGCAGCGAUUUGUAUGUGUAUGAUGAUGACAUUUGUAUGUGCUAAAGAUUCUUGUAUAAAGCCUGUUCAAAUACAAAACAAAUAUGCAGGAAAAAAAUCAAAAACUACUAAAAUUAGCAGUAGCGAGUGGAGGAAAGUUAGCAGCAGCGUGACUAUAGCAGUAGCGCGUACGGCCAAAGCGCGCUAGAGCUAUUAGCAAUAGCGAGCUUCCACGCAGCACGCUGCUGCUACACUUAUAUAGCAGUAGCGCGGGCGCGCACGCGCUGCUGCUAUGGGUUAGCUGUAGCGCCCUAUUAGUAGCGCCGGUGCCCGCGCUACUGGUAGACCAAAAACCCGCGCUGCUGCUAGGCUUUUCCCUAGUAGUGUGGGUGCCCCAUACCCGACAGGCGUCCUGGUUGGGAGCUCAGGUCUUAGAUGUUAGGUUUGGCUGCGAGGUCUGUUUGAUAUUAGGCACAGACUAUCAGCAUCCCUACACCAACUAGAUAGGAAUAGCGACAGAUGUUGCCUAGACGGUGGUUUUAGUCUUACUGUUGUAUGACUUUGUAAUGUCUUGUGUGAAUAAUUAAUAAAAUGAUUUUUUGAGACAAAAUUAAUAAAGUGGUUGCAUGCAUCGUCCAGAUGGAGAGGCCGAGGGUCCUCUUCCUUUUCUUAAAAAAACUGCAUGGCCUCAAUGAAUUAAUGGUUAAUGCUUGUGACAUUUUAAAAAAUGUUAAUCAUGCAUUUUAGAAAGUUAAACGUGUACAAAAAAAUGAUAAUGUUGUGACAUUUACAAAAAAAUGCUUAUGACAUCUACAAAACGUCACGUAUCUACAAAAUGUACCUAACAUUAAAGAAAUGUUUACAUAAUGUAAGAAAAAACUAUCUUUUGUUUUUUGCGAGAGAAAAAAAACUAUCCGUGUAAAUCAAAACAAAUGUUUCGUACAUUUAAAAAAUAUACAUUGUUAGGUACUAAAAAACAUCUGUGUAAAAAAAAAAUCACGAGUUGCAAAAUGUGUUUGAGACAUUUUUUGAAAAAGUAUAUGCCAUGUAAAAAGUGUUCAUGCCAUCCUAAAAACAUUUUUCGUACCCUUAAAAAAUAUACGUGACAUUUAAAACAAAUUCCAAAGGUUCAAAAAAAUGUUCCUGAUAUUUAAAAAGAUGACGAUACAAUGUAGGAAUAUGUUCCUGUAUAUCAAUAAACGUUUAUUUCCAUUACCAAAAUGUACAUGACGCCGUAAAGAAAUAUUCACGUGUGUCAAAAAACCAGUGAAAUUUUUAAAAAUAUUUAUGUAGUGUAAAAAAUGUCUGUGUAGUUCAAAAUAAUCUUUCUAUCAUUAAAAAAGUACAACAUGUAUUUCAGAAAAUGUUGACAUGCUUUCAAAAAAGUAUUCAGAACAUGCAUUUUUAGAAAAUGUGUAUCAAAUGUUCGAAAAAAUUCCAAAGUGUAUCAAAAAAUGUUUCACAUGUAUGCUAGGAAUAUGCAUUAUGUACUGAGAAAAAUUAGACAUGUGUUGAGCAAAGAUACUAAUUAAAACAGACAAAGAAACAAAAACCAAAGAAUACGAACAAAACCAAGAAAUAAAGAAAAGAAAACCAGAAGUAAGACAAAAAUGAAAAAUCUAAAGACAACUAUUGAAAACACAAAGUAUAGCGAAAGAGAAAAGAAAAAUCAAAGAAACCGGUGAAAAAAGAAAUAAAAACAAAAUAAAAUGUUACAAGAAAAGAAAAGAAGGAUAACCGGAGCAGAACGAGCGAACCCCUCGGCCUGCGGUCUGGGCCUUGUUAACAAGGGUUUUCGCAUUUUCUAUUGUGUUUAUUUUCUUGAGGGGUUCACAUUUUCUAUUGUGUAAAAAUUAAAAAAGAACAAAAAAUUGGCCCAUACAGGUCUCGAACCUGUGACAUUCGCGUUAUUAGCACGACGGUCUAACCAGCUGAGCUAAUAGGCCACUCGUACAAAUUCAAUGUUGUCCCCUUUUUAGUUAUUAUUACUAGUGAAACGUGAUCGACUAAUACAUGUGCAGUGCCGGUCCUCCAACAAGAUUUGAGAGGGUGAUAGAUGAGCCAUGGCCAGACAUGAAAGGGGUUAACCUAGUUUUUUAUGUCAGUUUUGGCCUAAAUAGUGUUAAAACGGGCUUUUCCUUUCCUGUGUUCCCCCGCGCGUCGCCUCUGGCGCACGGGGGAAACCCUAACCGCGCCGCCAGCCGCCCCUCCCCCGCUUCGCCGCCGCCGGAGGGGACAGCGGCGAAGCCCGCGUGCUCCCCAGGGAAGGUGGCGGCGGGGCGUCCUCGUCGUUCUCGCGCAGAUCUCGCGGCGGCCGGUGGCGAUCUUGCGGCGGCCGGUGGCGCGCGGCGGUGUUCCGCCGGUGGCUGGCGCCUGCUGCCCGUGGGGCGGCGUCCCUCACGGCAGCGGGGCUGCCCUUUAACGGCGCUUGGUGGUGGCCACAUGGCGGCGCGCGGGUGGGCCGGAUCUGGGCUUCCAGUCUGUGUCCUCGUCGUGGCAGCGCUUGCCGUUGCCCUCGGCCAUGAGGCGUGGUCCGGGACGGGCCGAGCGCCUGUGGUGCUGGCCAGGACGCACGCUGGCAGCGCCCUACUUCAUCUCGCGUCGUCUCGCUGGCCAAUGGUGGUGGUCAUCUUCUUCGUCAGAGAUGGCCGGCCAGAGGCUUGGUGAUCGGAUCUCGAGAUCCAUCAUCUAGUCCCGGCUAUGAGUUGGGGAGACAUGGUUGCUGGUGAAAACCGAGCCGUUGGCAGGCGAUGGCGGCGUUCUACGUCGUUACCUUGAUGGAGGCAUCGUCGUGUAACUACUGUCGACCCACUCGUGCUGCUCGGGGGGAAACCCUAGGAUCUGGUGUUCCAGAUCGGACGAUGGCGGCAUUGCGGUGUCGUUUCUCUCUUGGGAGCAUCGUUUGUGGAGCAGUGCUGGAAGUCAGAGGCAGGAGGUGGAGCGGCUUCGUCUUGCACGGAGCUUCGGUGGAGAUGUUAAGUCAUGCCUGACCGACAGGUGCUACGCUUUGUCAUGCCUGGUCGGCAGGUGCUACGCACGACAGAUCUUCCAAAGACUUCAAGCUGUGUCGGCUGGUGGUACUUGGCAGCACGGUGCUGAGGUGUAUCAAUGGCGACCGCGACAUGCACAGCUGUUUGCGCGCAGGAAGGAGGUGCCGUUGGGCGCCGUGGUGGCGUCGACGAUAGCUAGACCGAGCAAGGUUGAUGCAUCAGUACAGUUCUAAAGAUGGAGCGGUGGCAGUUGGCAGCGGCGGCCUCUGAGAGCACGCCGGACCGGCGAGACCCAUGCCCGGCAGGCGUACUGGAUGGGUCCUCAGGUCUUAGAUGUUAGGUUUGGCUGCGAUGUUUGUUUGGUAUUAGGCCCAGGCUCUCUGCGCCCCUUCAUCAACUGGAUAGAUGUAGCGAUAGUUUGUUGCUUAAGACGGCGGCUUUAGUCUUACUGUGGUAUUACUUUGUAAGGUCUUGUGAAAAUAAUUAAUAAAGUGGCCGUAUGCAUCGCCCAGAUGCAGAGACCGGGAGCCAUCCUCCUUUUCUAAAAAAAAGAAAUAAAUUUUGUCGGAGAGUCAUACCCACUUUGGCCCUAACUAAGCUCCGCCACGAUAAAUCUGGUGAAUAGUGCGAAGAAAAGAGUAAUAAGAGAAUGAAUCAAAAGAAAAGAAAAUCAUCAGAGGGGUCGAGCUAAGAGAAGAAAUCAUCUUUGCUCCAUGAGGCGAUCUGCAAAAAUAAAACAAUAGAUCUUGCUAGUUCCCAUCUCGUUGUCCAUGAUUGUAAGUAAUCGUCGCUGUUGGAAUCUUUUUCUAUCAUUGUUUCUGACUUUCUGUGAUGUGAUGUGUGUGCAAAUCAUCCUGCAACAGCUACAUGAUAAUAAAGCCAUACAUGCAGGCUGGCGAAUGGUGCUCAAGGCACAUCUCUAUCGACCGGUCAUGUCUAUAUACAUUCUUUUAUAUGUGUGUUUCUUCUUGAUUGUUUGGAACUUCAAGAACUGGUCUUUGAAUUUUCCAAAAAAGGGCCUCAUGGAGGCGAAGCUCCAAAAUCAAUUUCCGCGCACCACUGAGAAAUAAAAUAAUGUUUUCAUCAUAUCCCUCAAUAUUCUUUGUCCAGAUAUGUACCUGGAUGAAAAAUAACGGUGGCGUGGAGCACCAAGGCGAGAUGCGAAAUAUUGGUGAUAUUUGUCUCCACAACAUGCACAGAGUCAUCAUAUGCGGCCAAUUGUGUAAGAAGAAUAAUUAUGUCAAGAACUGUGUAGCCAUAGAUGGAGCUUUCCACAGGGGUGAUUGGCACCACCCACUCAGUUUCCUUCUCACCUUUUUGCAUAGCUUUCAUCUGCAAAUAUACAAAAGUGAGUUGAUAUGCGAUCUGUGUUAAAUUUUUGAAUGGGUGUUCUAUUCUUUCACAUAUUUACUUCUAUUUGACAGCACAAGGCAUGAAAAAUCAUAAAUUUUUACAAGCGUACAUAAUACCUGGUCAUGUACAUUAUGAUUGGUUUUGAGUUUUUUCAAAAGUAUGACAAAUAAAGAAAAAAAUACAGAUAAACAUCUCCAAGAUCCUUCCUCUCCUGUGAUAACAUGAAUUAGUUAUAAUAGCAGAUUAUCACACAAAAAUGUAAUUACAUAAAUCAAUUCCAACACCAAAUGAAUAUUGGCUCUAGUUCCUUAUAUCGAGAAAGAAGCUAGCUAGAGACCAAGGGAAUCAAAUGACGGGGGGAGGCGGCCCUAUCUUUAUUCGUCUUCCCUAUAUGCUGAUCCCUCGGUUGGUUGCGUACAUCCUUUUGCCAAAGUGCGUGCGUACGUGCAGCAUCUCUCAUCUCAUCUCUCCUUCUUGCUCCUUCUCCCUCGCUGUAAAAUACUCCCUCCGUCCGUACAUACGGAUGUAUAUAGACAUAUUUUAGAGUGUAGAUUCACUCAUUUUGCUUCGUAUGUAGUUAUUUGUUGAAAUCUCUAAAAAGACAAAUAUUUAGGAACGGAGGAAGUAUGUAGUUACUGCAUGAAUAUGAAAAUAAUAGCAUAAUGCGGUCUGUACCACUGAACUGGGGUGCCGGAGGCCCUACACGAAAUAUCAGUGAUAUUUAAAAUAACCCCACGUAAGAAACAAGUCGAUGACAUAGUCCACUUCCCUAAGAAAGAAGGGAAAAAGCACGCGCGGGUUGACUCGGUGCCCCCGCACUUGUGUGCCUCAAAUCCGCUCCCUUGGAAAUCAUAGUUGAAUUGGUAGUUAUAUGAUAUUAUAGAAAAAUGUAAGACAUAAAUUGGAAGAUGCGAUGGAGAUGGAAAUGAGUAAGAGGUGGAAGGUUUUUACAUGAUAAACCAUACGGAGAUACAUAUUACAUAUUUUGGAUGGUCUGCUAGAGAUGCUCCAAUGCGCUCUUGUCCCCCUUAGUAAAUUUGUACAAAAGGCAUUUUCUUCCUAAAAUUUGGGAAUUUGGUUCAAAUUUUGACGUAAAUACUCGUAACAUUUCACCAAGAAAUAAAAUCAUUCCUGAAAUAAUCCCUGAAUCUUGAAGCAUAGCCAUCAUCGGUUAUCGGCCGAGAUCGAUAUUUUCUCCGACGACAUGAACAAAUAAAAUUACAUUACAAUAGCUAGCUAGAUUCCCACAGAUGAAUUUUGGUUAUAGUUCCUUGUAAGAAAGACAGACAGAAAGAAGCAAGGUAGAGAUAUGGACGGAGGGAAUCAAAUUGAGUGAUGAGGCGGCCCUAUCCUUAUUCCUCUUCCCUAAGCGCGGUGGUCCCUCGGCCGCUCGCCUCCAUCCUUUUAAUUUCCUUUGCCAAAGUGCCUGUGCCUAUACGUGCGUGCAGCAUCUCUUCUCCUCCUGCCCCCUGCCUAUAAAUAGGCCUCCAUGCCCCUCCAUUAUUCCUCAAGCCAGCAAGAAGCACACACGAAGCUCAUAGCCAUUCAAAGCCUCUCCAUCUCCGAAGCUCCAACCCAACCUCGAAGAUGUCUUGCUGCGGAGGAAACUGCGGCUGCGGCACCGCCUGCAAGUGCGGCAACGGCUGCGGCGGCUGCAACAUGUACCCCGAGGUUGAGGCCGCCGGCGCCACCCUCCUCGUCUCCGCCACCGCCACCCACAAGGCGUAAGUUUCUGUCUCUUAACAAAAUUUCCUCCUGAACCCAUACAUCAUCAUGCACUCGAUCGUAAUAAUAUGACUGGAUGUUGAUCUUGGUAUGGAUGGGGUACGUGCAGGAGCUCCGGCGGGAUGGAGAUGGCGGCCGAGAACGGCGGCUGCGGCUGCACCCAGUGCAAGUGCGGCACCAGCUGCGGCUGCUCCUGCUGCAGCUGCUAGAUCCAUCAUCGAUCAUGCAUGCACCGUGCCGUGCGUGCAUCAUCGAUCAUAUCGAUCUACUACUACCAUACCAUGUAACCGCAACCUGAUCGAGGGCCUUUAUGUACGCACCUGACCUGCAUCAGCAGUCAGGUGCCAUGCCAUGAUUGUAAACAGGCCCCCCUAAAUAAAACCUCCCUUGAUUAACUAUACAUGUGUCGUCUGUGGUAUGCAUAUAUCAUCACCUUCUUUUUCUUCUUCCUCAUGGCAGAAAAAACACUGCUUAAGAGUUGAGAGCGCCGAGAAUAUUACUAGAAAUGGUCAUAAG
rnacentral:lncRNA from 1 species